rnacentral:lncRNA from 1 species
UCCUCAACUGCUCGUGUGUGAUCAGGUUUCAGGUCAUGCUUGCCAAAAAUUGUUCAUGUUGCUCCGAUCCAUCUGAAAUUGGGAUUUUCAGCUUGUAAAUAUGAUACAGGGAGGAAUUCAUGCAUGCGUAAUUUGGUUGUUUCCUUGUAGGCUCGAUUAUGCUUCAAAAAUCAUGGGCUCCAUGGUCAUUCUCUAGUACCUUGCUUGCAAUGAAAUGCCGGAAUGAUCAUACAGUGUAGAUAUUUGCAACUCGCCACCCACCGCUGGGUCACCGGUCGCCCAAGAGAUUGAAAGCGCGGGCGGUGCCGUUCCGUAGCGGGCACACGAUGAAUGGCGACAUGAUUUUCCAGUACAUGGACCAUGUCACAUGCGGCAGACAUCACUUGUCUUGACAUUCGUAUUGCCACAUUUGAUACUCUCGGGUCUAUAUUGAUAUUCCAGUCGAGUUUGCGUUAGUUUACAACGCUGCUACCGCCAAAGUUCACAAGUCAUUUUUUUUAGCUUAGAUCAGGUUCAUAAAUAGGUCUAUGAACGUGUCAAACUUGUCAAUUUUUCUCGUCUUUGACUCCGUACCUUAUAAUUGCAUCAUAGCAAACAACAUCCGCCAACAAUCUAUUCUACUGAGUUCAGAUACGCUCAUUGAAAGAGAAUGCCACCACAACGGCUUAGAUUGCAUUGGACAACUUAACUCCACAGUUUUAUUAGAAAAAUAAAGAGUUGUCCUGGACAUGUGUAGCUUCACGUUUUGGUGAACUGGAGUUCAGAUGUCGGCCAGUUCAUUUUGGUGAAGUUAGAAAAAGGUCGAUUAACCUACUCCACUUGAUUCCCGCACCUGCACAAUUAUCCCAAGUCCUUGUUGAGUCCCCCGGCCUUUGCAUCAUUGCGAUGCACGCAACCAUUGUUAUGAUUAUUAAACGGAGUAUAGGAUGAAAGACAAUCACGGUCGAACCAUUACAAGGGAAAGAAUAGAACACCUAUGACUAAGUCAUCUUCUUCCACAACAACGCCUUCAAAAAGGGGUACACGAUUUUGUUUCACUGUCGCCAUGUCUGGCUGAUGGCCAGGGCAAGAAUUUUUCAUCCAGGUUGCUGAGAGCAAGCAUUAAAGGCUAGUACAUCAGCAAGGAGGCGAGACCUUCAAUAAGGUAACGACACAAGAUCAUCGCUGCUGAGCCUGACAACAAAUACCAGAACAAAGAUUUUCACCUCGGACAUGAAGCAAUGUUUCAACUAGCACCUUAAAAAUGGAUCAGCCAAUAAUCAUCUCAGCCAGUACGCUGAGCCCCAUUAUCCAUCUAUCCUAAAAGUUGUUUUGAAAUACACACUUUUGUACCUCGGUACCUUUGACACAGUUGCCCAAGCCCUCACCUCCCCUGCCACCCCUCCCCUAAGGUCGCCGCCAUCUCUCUAUUGCCGCCUCGUCUCUCCUGUGCCACUCCUUGAACCUGAAGCGCCCCUUGUUUCAAAGGGAGGAGGGUAGUUUAUUCACUUUUAAUUUGAUGGUCAGAGGUUAACUGAAAGCUAAACAACAGUAAUUAAGACCCCCGGGAGAAAAUAGGGAUGUCUCUUACAUUACCCAAUGUGGAAGUACCGACGUAAUUUCAUAGAGUUAUUAUAUCUGAAUGAUACAUGAAGAACAUAAGCCAGAUGGCAGAACACGGAGACCUAGGAUGUAGAAGAUUAUGACAUGAGUGAUUUGGCAUAUUUGGAUUCCUUUCCUGUAUAUCCACUCAUGUGGCAGUUCGUCAUAUGAUUCGUAUAAGCCCAUUUGUCUAGAGAUCAUCAUAUACAUUUAGAAAGUCGUAUGCUUUGCUAGAAGAUUGUACAUUUUGGUACCCGUACCACUACCAUAUGUGAACCCUCCCGGUGCCUAAGAAGCAUGUCUCUCGAGUUGCUUGGUUGAUGCCCUCAACUAGCACCUCGCAAACCACAUGUCGUCCUAUCAUCAGCGGAUUUGAAUUGUCGUUGUGUUGUUCUAGAGCUCGUUGUGGAGGGCCUUCCACCAGGAGCCCGAGAGUUUGUCUCUAACAUAUUGAUAAAGACCUCAUCCCAGCACUUCUACCUGCAACGGUCAUCUGGCCUAAUCCUCUCAUAUCUUUGUUUUUCAUUGCUAUUCCUGUCGGGUUUAUGCUUCUUGAGGUUAUAUAAUUUAGUUGGUAAAUGGUGUCCAUACACAUGUUGGUUAGUCAAAGAAAAUGUUUUUCUACUCCUUCUCUCAUGACUGUAACACUAGUUCGUUGGUUAUAUUUUUUGGUAUAAAUUCUGUUCUUAAAUUAGGAAUAGAUAGAUGCAUUGCAAUACAAAUUUGCGAAAGGUAGAUAGAAGCAUUGCAAAUUUCCAAAAGGUAGAUAAAAGCAUUCUAAUGCAAAGUUGUUGCUACAUAUUUUAACCUUAUGGGAGAAUUAUUUUAGCCUUGAUAGAAACAUCACUAAAACACUGAGUUCUUGGCAAUUGUUCCAUACACAUGUGGUAUUUGCAAUUCUUUUUACAGGUCAUAGUUCAUUUCAAGAGAAUGCGAGCGGUUUUGUGAUGAAACUCUUGUUAAAUAUGCAAUUCUUCUUGCCAGUUAGUUCAUUUGAUGGUCUUGUUACUAAUUAGUUAGUGGAAUUAUCCAUUAGCAAAUAAAAUAUAAAAUAUGCUUGAUUGUGUCUAACACAUGAUGCGCAACAGGGAAAGAAAGAAGACAAUCAAGGUAUCGAUGAAACAUUUCCUAAACCGGUGAAAUACCAAGUUCGGAGGAAAAGGGAGGGGGAGGAGGGAGAGAUAGGGUACUUUAGACUUUUCAUUACAAUCUCCUUCGAGCCUUGAUUGUUAGCCAAAUACAUUUUUAUAGCUCCAGAGUGAUGGGGUCGAGUUUGUGGUGAAGUGAAACUCUUGCAAACAUACACUUGAAUCCCAUAUUACACGAAUAAUUCACCCUCAUACCGAUUUUCAGAUGGUUGUCUCCACCAGUAAAAGUUAGAGCUCAUCUUGCAUAGGCAAAAAUGAUGAAAAAAAUCAAAGGAGAAGAAGAAAAGCUAAUAGAAAAAAGAACAAAAUAAGAACACAUAAAAAUACUUGUUGAGAAAUCACCGGAUUGUUAACUCAUUCAACUAGGUGACACCCCGCACGUUGUUGUGGGAAUUUGUGGAGAUAUAUUGUUGGAAUAUCAAUGUUUUGAUUAAUAAUAUGAUAAUUGAAUCUGGAAAUAGAUAUUAUUUCUUGUAUUUAAUUACUGUACAUUUUCUUUCAAAGAUUGUUAGAUUACAAGUUCUCUGGAAAUGCAACUAAGAUAAAUCAACAUCAAUGGCAUGGAAAGCUUGCAACAAGAUAAAAUGAGACAACUAGCAAACAAUGCACACAAUAUGAAAGGUUCAAGAACAAGAUAAGUACCGAGGUAGAGACGAAGAUAUGGAUCCCUUGAAUGCUUCUCAUUAGAUCAAAGUGCAAAGCCACAUCAUACCAAAACAAUGACAAUAGAGAAUUUAUGUCAUUUGUGUUAUGACAUGCAAUACAUAACCCCAUGAGAAAACAUUCAAACACUGCACAAUUAAAAAUAUUAGGAAAAAUAACUACUCACAACCUUAGCAUCACAUGCAAGGCAAAAAUUUGAUGAAUCGACUCUCGUUAGUUCAUUGCGCAUAAUUAGGUGGUAGUGGUACCCCUGCUGCCUGGUUAUUGCAACAACACCUCUUGGAUUUGCACAACUAAACCCGAGCAUGGACAACCCGGCCUGAUGACCUGACCCGAAAAAAGGGCUUCGGGCAGGGCUCAGGCCUCAUUUUGCAGCCCGGAAGGUACUUCGGGCCGGGUUCAGGCUUCUUUUUCCAGAAUUUCAAGCCGGUCUUACACGUGCGAACACUAGAAAAUAACAUUCCGGACGGGCUUGACUUUGGGCCGAGCUCGGGCUUGAUAAAAGAGUGCAUUUCGGGCUUCGGGCAGGGCUCGAGCUUGAGAAAAGAAGGUCGGGCUUUUACAAGCCUGACCCGGCCCGGCAUAUGCCUGGGUUUAUGCACAACCUCUCAUAAGAUUGGCAUACCUUCUCUUCCCCACCAAGUGCCCCCAUGUAUUUAUUUCCAUCCAAUAAUUACUACUGUUUUCAUUCAUUCCAUCUCUGCCAAAUAAGACAUUGUGGUUGACCUUGCUUCCAACCUAGUCAAUCUUUAUCAGGUGGAGAACCCUUCAUUUUCUUGACCUGUUAUAUGUGUAUUUGUGUGUGUAUAAUUGUCUUCUUUCUUUGCGUCGCGGAAAUAUGUUUUUGUUAAAUCCACCGAUGCACCUGUCCACUAAAUGGCAUUUCCGGACUGAUGUGCACUAUAUGGAGGAUAUCCCAAUUUGCAAAGCAUUUUUGGUGACACCAAGACAAGCAAUUAUUUUUGUCAGAUUUGACGUGCUAAGGGUAAAAGAGGGUUUGAUUUGUUGUCCCAUUUGAUGCGUAGGUUGAAGGGAAUAUUACUCUCAACUAUGUCAUUAUGCUCUAUGCAAGGCUCUGCAUUAGUUACGUAAUCCAAGUGUAUACAAGGGUUUCAAUCACUUUGAGUGGAGUAUUAGCCAUUAGAUACAAUGGAUGUUUUUUUGGAUUUACGGACAUACUGUCUACUAGUAGAAGGGACGUGCUAUGCACAUGUUCUUCACUCAUCUUGUAUAUGAAAAAAUUGCUUAUCCCACAUUGUUAGUUUUGUUGUAUGCAUGAUUUUGAGUGUUAAAUUCGAUCAGAAGGAUCGUCAAAUUGCUGCGUUCGAAAGUUCGGUGGAAACAAAUGUUCAGUGCUUUGAUUUGUAAAGGUAGCUGUUUACCCGCUGUUUUUUCUUGAAUCUUCCAGGGCUCCGGUUGUUAAGCAUUGAACUUUUGGACCAACAUUUGUGUGGGCCCAUUUGGAGCCGAGAGGAUUCCAGAAAGAUAGUGGAGUCACUUUGGUGCCUCUCUGUACACAGCGAAUCUAAGAAAUGUCAACCGUUAGAUCUCUUUGACUAGGUAUUGAUAAAUGGUGGAUAUUCAUCUCCUAGAGCAAAUCGAUGGCUCAUAAUUGCUCCUGAGUCUUGGCGGAUAGGUAAUCAAAAUUCAAAUUUUUAUGUACUAUAGUAGCAGAGAUAUAACAUGACCCAACCUAUGUAAUAUCCUUUUUAUGUUUCGUUGAUUGGUCAAAUUCACAUGCCUAUGCUUAUUAUUUCAUGUCACUGCUUUCAUGGGAAAAAUGCUAUAUCAAACCUAUGAAUCCCAACCGGAUUUUUCCCAUAAGAAAAUUCUAAGAUCUCAAUUCCUUGCAUUUAUAUUCUUGGUCAUUAUUAAUUAUAGAAAUACGAAACAUAUCAUUACUCAUUAACACGUGAUGCAUGCAAAACAAAGAAAGAGAGAAGAAAAUCAAAUAAUCAAUAAAACGGUUCCUGAACCGAUGCAUUACCAGGUUCCGAGGAAAAAGGCAGAGGUGGAAGGGUACUUUAGAGUUUUCACUAUAAUCUACGUUGAAAACUUGAAUUAAUUUGGAGCUUGGUCGUUAGACAAAUCUAUUUUACAACUCUACAGUUUAGUGGUGGAGUGGAGUUUAAGGUGAAGUAAAACUCUUACAAACACACCCUUAUAGCCCACCAUAUGUAGAAAAAAUUGCACAACUCACCCUCGCGUUGAUUUCUAGUGUGGAUCUCCCACUAUACAAGUUAGAGACCAUCUUACUUAGUAAAAAAUUUGAUGUGAAAAUUUAAAGCACAAGAAGGAAAAUAAACAAAAACAGAAAAAAUGAACAUGAAAAACAUUUUGGGAAAUGAAUGGCUAUCUACUCAUUCAACUAGAUGAUAUCCCAUGCAUUGUUGUAGGAUUUUUUGCAAUAUAUUUAAAUGUGAUUGGAGCAUGAUAAUUUAAUUAAUAAUACAAGAAUUGAAAUUAAAUUAGAUAUGAUAUAUGAUAUUAUAUUUUUUAUGUAAUAAUUAUAUAUUUUAUUAAUAUGAGUAGUACAAUAGUUUUUCAUGCAUGAUUGCAUGUUGAGGUGGUUCUUUUCAUUUAUUGUGUUGACGGUUGAAUUGUGUUUCUUUCAAUGCAUAACUGCAUGUGGUGAGAAGUAGGUUAGCAAGGAUCACCAAUUUAGUUAUAUAUACUCCCUCUUUUCAAUAAUUAUGGUCAUGGUUCUAGUCCAAAUUUGAACUAAACUCUAUGGAACGGAGGGAGAAGAAGUGAAGAACUUAUUGGUGUGAUGUUCCUUUUAGGGGGAAAACAGUAGUAUGGGGUUGACGUUACAAAGCUGAAUGCCAUUUACCGUAGAGGCAGAUUCUUUUUUAUCACAUCAAUGCCAUAGAAGCUGAUGCUGAACGAAGUUUUUUUAGGGGAUGAUUUAUUUUAUUUUAUUUUUGCGGUAGGGAAUGAUGUUUUACAAAGCUGCAUGCCUGCAUGUAGAGAGUAGAGACAGAGUAAUUUUUUUGAAGAGAAGCCACAGAGGCAAUCGCCCGGCGUUAUCUUUGGGUUUUUUUUUUUUUUGGCCGAACAGAACUGCACGUCUCUUUUUCGGCCCAAAGUAUGUAUGGUCCAUAAUGCGGCUCACGAAGCCCAGGCCAUUCCAGCCCCAAAAUCCACAGGCUUCAGAUAGAUAUUCCGUGUGAUUCCACAGUGAGUGGAAUUCGUCACGCUGGAAAAAGGAAAAAAAAGGAGUUUCUAAACAAAAGAGUGGAAUUCGUGAGGAGCACAAAUCUGGGAAGUAGUCGGCCGUGGGCCCACCGGAACCCAUCAUCUUUAUCGGCGACUCCGCCGCGUAACAACCAACCCAUCACGGCAGUCCUCCACGCUACGCUCAUCCGCGCCACCGCCCCCGACGUGCCUCCCCCAUCCGAACCCUAGCCCCGUUGACCAGCGCGGCGACCGCCAUGGACGGCCUCGUCGCCUUCUCCCGCCGCCGCCGCCGCUGGCUCCUCCUCGCCGCGCUGGGGACGGCGUCGGCCUACGGCGCGUACAAGAUCUACCACCUCCCGGCCGUCGCCGCCCGCCGCCGCCGCCUCGUCCGCCUCGCCGCGGCCCUCGCGGCCUUCCUCGACGCCGCCGCGUCCUCCGCCGACGCGGCCGCCCUCGUCUCCUCCGACCUCGCCGACUUCGUCCGCUCCGACUCCGACGAGCUCCCCCGCAGCGUCGCGCAGCUCGCCAAGCUCGCCGCCUCCCCCGAGGUCUCCGCCACCGUCUCCGCGCUCUCCCAGGCCGUCGCGGCCGGGGUGCUCCGCGGCGUCGGCUCCACCCCCGGGGCCGGCUCCGGCGGCAAGGUGGCCCUCACGGACCGCCUCGUCGACAAGCUCUUCUCCGACUCCGGGGAGCGCCUCGCGUCCGCUGUCGCCGGGAGCUUCGCGCGCCACCUCGUAAUGGCCUUCUACUCCGCCCCGUCUCCUCCCGGGCAGACCUCCUCAUCGCCCGAUUGGGUCAACGUGGUUGCAAUGGGAAAGGGGCACAAGGCGAUUAGCAGCUGGGUUGAGGUCCUCGUCGGCACCGCCGUGGGGGUGUUCAUUGACAAGACCAUACACAUCAAUACCUACGAGCAGCUCUUCGAAGGGCUCACCAAUCCAAGCCAUGACGCCAAGGUCAAGGAAUUGCUUGUUUCAGUAUGCAACGGGGCAGUGGAGACUUUGGUGAAGACCUCUCACCAAGUUAUCUCCAAGGCCAAUAGUAAAUUGGAUAAUAAUGGCAAUGGCAACAGCAAUGGAAGUGGCACUGGCAGUAGCAGAGCUGGGGAAGGGUGGGUGGAGACAGUCUCUAGCACAUUGGCAGUGCCAAGCAACAGGAAUUUUGUGCUUGAUGUUACUGGGAGGGUGACAUUUGAGACGGUGAGGUCAUUUCUUGAGUUUGUGCUGUGGAAGCUGCAUGAUGGGGCGAGAAAGAGUGGGGACACCGCGUUCGACAGCGGACUGCGAGCCAUGAGGUAUAUGAGUGAUAAGUCUAUGGUUCUCGCCACAAUCUGCAUAACACUGUGCCUGCAUGUGUUAAAUGGAACUCGAUUCCUGGUUACCGCUUGAACAUGCAGCCAACAGGGUGGGGGCUUUUGGCUUGUAUAAUUUGCACAUUGUUUAUGUACAAAUUGUAGCUAAAAUUGUACUGAAAAACUGUAAAUUCAACUAAAAAAAAGAGCUGAAAUGGGGUAAUUUGGUUGCAAGGCUUUAUUGUGGCUUAUGGUUGGGGUUGUUAUUCAUGGCUGUAAUCGAAGUGAUUGAUUUGUUGUGCCCUUGAGAAAGUGUGUUUGAGGCAUUAUUUGGUAUGGAGAUGUGUUGUACGUUUGAAGGAAUUUGUAUCACUGACAUCUUCAUCAUUAUAACAUUGCUGAUAUCAUCAAUAUCGAAAGUUUUUCUGGUCGGUUUCCUAAUUGUCUUGUUUUCUAUCCAUGUCGUUAUCUAUUAUAUGUUCGUAAAUUGUUUUUCAACUAUCUUUUGUUCUCUAUGAUGUCAAACAUAGCUUAACCUCCUCAUUUCACAAUUGGAUUUGUGAAUGCUUUGUUUGGAUUCGAAGUUUUAGUAAGCUCAAUAUUAAUUCUAUGUAGAUUUGUGAUGACGACUUAUUAUUCAUCCUGUGUAGUGUACUAGAGGUUCCUAAGAAUUCAUAUAUGAAGCAGUAGGUAUCACAUAUUGAAUGGGAUCUUACAAACAUUACUCUAGUGAUGUCGAUGCAUUGUCCGAUGAAAGUUCCCCCCAAAGGUAAAAUACUAACGGACUGGAUUUCUGUUCCUCCGUCUUAGCUUACAUGAUACAGGUGCAGAAACAGUUUUUGACGUACUGGUGUUAGAUUUGGUUGCUUGUUAAUUGCAUAUUGUUUCUCUAACUUCUGUUUUAAACUGUUCCUUUUGGACAUGGCUUCAUGGUAAUAUGAAGAAAAGAAACUGCAGUAUCCACAGUGUUUCACACACAAGAAUUAUAAACUUUACAUCAGUAUUUUGUUUGAUUGUUUUACUAACUAUGACACUUUGUAUAGUUAGGGAAAGAGAUAUGGCGAAUUGUGAGAGGUGUGGGGAAGUUAGUAGACAAGGAUGUAGUUGCUUUGAUAAUCUCUUUGAGGAAAACAUGUUUGUUUUAAGUUACCAUAAAUUUAACUGUCUUGUUGGCGUUUUCCACUGAAUCUGGUCAAUUUAUAAUUUUUAAUGCUCGCCGGAUGGCUUUCCCUUAAAAAAUGUUAAUGGAAGUGCGUUUAGUCUGAUGGUAAACAUGCAUGGCCAUUGUCAUUUCAAAAUAUCCAGAUUUACUCAAAUUGGAGUUCUGCAGAGUAUUUGUGUGAUUGUGAUCAAUCAUUGAUGAGCCAUGCGCUGUAUGAAAUUGAUGCUAUUUUCCUUUAAUAAUAGCCACAGUUGUAUGUAUUUUAUAUUGAUUUGGAAUUUUGAAUAGAACUUCAGUUCAUUUUACAAGUCAAAAAUAACUUAUGUACUAGCAGUCUCUUGUAGAUUUGAAAAAGAUGCUUGUUCAUAGAAGGGAUUCUAAGCUAGCAACCAAGGCAAACAUUCAUUUCUAGAGAAGUGCACUAUCCUGGUGUCCUUCUUUCAGGCUUUGUUCGGUUGAGGUGGAUUUGAAGGGGAUUGGCAGGGAUUGAGGGAGAUUAAAUCCCCUACAAGCCAAAAUCACCUCCAAUCACCUCCAAUCCUUUUGAGAAGUAGAUUAACCGAACAAGGCCUCAGGGAAUCAGGAUUUCAUCACCUUUUCUUUACAUAUUUUCUAUGUGCUCUGGACUACCUUUUUUGGUCUAUUUGCGUUGCUCUGUUCUGUUCUGUUCAAUCAUAUCUAGAAUGAAUUUGCUAUAUGGACUGAAAUGGGUCGGGUUUUACCAUUCUAUCAGCCUAGAAAAAGUAUUCAAGUGAUUGUUUUUCCACUCUAUAGCUGAAACAUAUUACACUAUAGAUGGCGAUACUGUGUUUGCGUAUGAAAAUAGCACCUCAUGGGGUCGAUACUUGCGCCCCUGGCAACUAGUUGAGUUUCUGAAAAACUCAGCACUUCAACAUUACAAUUCUACUGGAAUAGCUGCAGUGUUUUGUCAGUCAAGAGCUCGAUGAUGUUGUUUGCUCUAUGGUUUCCUGUAUGUAAACUUGCUGUAUUUAUUCUGUAAAAGGUGUAAAGUACGCACACCGAAAGAAAUCUGAAGACAGACCAGGUAACCAUGUCAAAUUGCUACAGUAGUGGUUGUACUGACACAGAACAUUGCUGCUAGCACUUGUUGCAGCGUUCAUGUGUUUGCAUGAUAAUGUUAUGUGCAUAGAGUGUGUUAGAUUCCCAGUAAUGUGCAGUCACGGCUUGCUGGCAUCUACUUCCUCCGUUCCUAAAUAUUCGUCUUUCUAGAGAUUUCAAAUGGUCACCACAUACAGAUGUAUAUAGACAUAUUUUAGAGUGUAGAUUCACUCAUUUUGCUUCAUAUGUAGUCAUCAUUUGAAACCUCUAAAAAGACAAAUAUUUAGGAACGGAGGGAGUAUGAGAAUGAGGAACACACAUAUGUGAAGCCUGCGGCACCUCUCAAGAAUGAAAACCGACUCCGGAUUUUCGUUUUGGGGGUGCAGAUUGGAGCCCGUGGAGCAUGAUAACUUUUUGAUGACCUUGUUGGGCACCUGCGGCAGCUCCAUGGGCAAUGAACUUCAUGCUUAAUUUAUAUUAUUUGAUGCAUUUUAUAUUAUGCUUGAAUUUGAAUUUUUGAAUUUAAAAUCUAAAAUUUGUGGAGAAAUGAUGUUGAAUUGUGUGUGGUUGAAACAUAAUGAUCUGAAUUAGUGACGAGAAAAUAGACUUUGUGAUAGUGCUUACAUGCAAGUGUAGAGAGAUAUAGAAUAGGUUGAAUUAUUGGAUUCUCAAAAGCACCUACUCCCUCCGUCCAAGUGCGUUGGAUCAAAAUCCUGAAAGUAUUACUCCCUUCAUUCGAAAUUACUUGUCGCAGAAAUGGAUGUAUCUAGACAUAUUUUAAUUCCAGAUACAUCCAUUUCCGAGAUAAGUAAUUCCGAACGGAUGAAGUAUUAAGCAUAGCAGCUCCAAUAUGGUAGAGUGAUGGAUUAUCGGGGCUCUGUCGGAGAUCUAAUAAUAACAGCUGAAAUGUGGAAAAGCUUCAGCCAGCUUGACUGGCGUUGGAUCUCCAUCCAACGGUCGACACAAACCCUUCACGGCCCUGCACAAAAACCUCACCGCGCCACGGAAGUUGUGUGCCGAAGAGAAGCUUCCCGAAGGAAAGCCUGAUGGCCGGGGCCGCGGCCGCCACCGCCGCCGCUCCGCCGGAGACGGCACUCCCAGCGGCGGAUGGCCCCGGAUACGACGGCGAAGACUACGAGGGGGAGGAGUGCCGCAUAUGCCGCCUCCCCGCCGAGGCGGACCGCCCUCUGCGUCGCCCCUGCGCCUGCCGCGGCAGCAUCAGGUUCGUCCACGACGAUUGCCAGCUCCGGUGGCUCGCCGCCCGCCAACAAAACCGCUGCGAGGUAUCAUCUCUUGCCCCCCACCCCGCUAGGGUUUCCAGGCGCGUGCUUCUGCCCCUCCCCCCUGGGUCUCGGCAUCAUGUCCGCCAUGAUUGAUCCCCUCAUGUUGUUGGUGUGGUAUGGGGCGCUUAGUUCUUAUUCUAUUUUUGAUAUCGUCUAGAUUCAUCUGGUUCAGUACCGACCUUCACCCCAUUUACUAUUAGAACUAUGUCAUGGUUGGCGUUGGUAUGAUUGCCAGGGGGAAUAUCCCCUUCUGCAGUGUAAGAUUGUCAGGGAAAAUAUCCCCUUCCGCAAUGUAAGAUUGCCAGGGAAAAUAUCCCCUUCUGCAAUGUAAUACGUUGUUAUUGUCAUAUUAUUGCUGUGGUUAUGUUGAACUCAUUUUCAGUUCCAUUUCAAUGUGAUACCGAUGUUGAAGUGUCUGAUCUUUUUCUUAUCAUUGCAGGUGUGCAACCGCGACAUCUCCACCUGUCCUCUCUACGCCGCAGAUGCCCCUGCGAGGCUGCAUGUUUCUGAGCUCAUGGCGGGUUUGCCCAGGAAACUCAUGGGUCUGCUGCUCCCCCUAUUCUUCGCCUUCUGUGUCGUUUGGGAGUUUGUCAUUCCGCUCACCACCCUCUGGACAUGGCGUCUUGCGCUCGCCACGACCUUUGCUCAAGUGCACCAUCUACUCUCCCUACGCCUAUCUGUGACCUGCAUCCCUGCUUCAAUUGCGCUCUGGGCUACAUUUGUACGCUGGGUUGCACCAUUUGCUGUAGCUCCAUAUGUGUGCUGGGUUCAACGCCUGGUUACUUGGAGUGAGAGCCAGGAGUUUUGGUUACUUGAUGCCUUCCAGGUCCUAGCGAUAUUGGCUGUUGAAGUUUCCUUGGCGGUAUGAUCAUUGCUUCUCAACUAAUAUCCUACGUGUGCUACUUAUAUUUGUUUAUUACGAUGCUACGGUAUUCGUUGAACGAUAAUAUCCUUCUCGUAUCGUAGUAAAGCACCUGUUAAUGCAGUUCUGUCCUGAACUGGAGCAUUUAGCACAUCUUGCCAAGGCUUUCCUGAUUGUUUAUUUACAUUUCGUCACAGUGGCACAGCACAAUAUGGCGCUAGUUCGAAGUGUAUUAUCCUGGAUGUGUACAGGUUAUUAGAAGAAAUGUAAGCAAGACUUGAAUGAUGGUCACAUGGAAGAAACUGUUAUAAGUUGUUCUAUAAAAUAUGACGAUGUUAAACUCUUUGCUUCUUUCACUACCUUGAAAUUGUGCCUUCCAUUGGCCGGGAUGGAUACACUAGUGGGAGGACUACUCCCAAAUAUAGAUUUUGGACUUCUUCUGGUUAUUAUUUCAAUUGCACCGCCAAAACUGUCUAAGCUUGUUCUUUUGGUGUUUUAGUUGCUAUGCUAACGUAGUAUGUUAUUAUUACCUUCUUAAGGUAAUUCUACCCUUUUUUAUCUACAAGGUUGUGGGUUUGUAGCUUAGUUGCGUCCUCCUGGAGGAUGAGAGCCUGAAAUAUCUCCUGCUUGCUUUUUUAUUACUUAUUUCUAGAAAGAUCUAACAAUAUACUUGUCUAAUCAGGUGGUAAUAGUUGACAUGGCCCUUGCUUGUAUAUUUUGUUUUGUCCCAUUUUCAUUGGGAAGGAUAAUUCUAUGGUCAACAUCAUGUCUCAGCUUUGGCAAUGUGGAUGAAGUCAAUUCUUACACUUCAACAACUUCUACCCUUCUAAUUGGAUAUGAACUUAUCUUUAAGGUGGGUGCAAGUUUUGCUGUGGUGCAUACUUAUCCGUACUUGAGGGGCGAGCGCCUUGUGGUCACAAUUUUCUUUAGAAGAUUGUAUGGUAUAUUCUUCAGAGGGAUCAUAAAAUUAACCAGAGUUGCCAAUAUUUCUCUUAAUAUCCUAUACAACGUGAUAAUAUACCCAUUGUUCUUCGGCUGGUCGCUUGAUAUCUGCACUUCAAAAAUGUUUGGUGCAACAAUGUCCCAGAGGUUUAAUUUUCUGAUUGCUUCAUCCUUUGCUUCUGCUGCCCUACAUUGGCUUAUUGGACGUUCCUUUUUGAAAAUACGCCCCAGAUUAUUCAGACUUCUUCACAAGGUAAAUACCAUACUAUUAUAUUUAUGGUCUUAUCAUGUUAAAUUGUUAAUAGUGACGCAGAAAAUAAUUCAUGAGCGUUGUAUUUUGUUUUUGAGUAGAUAUUCGGGCCAGGAGUUGUCACUCCCUUUCUCCACUAUAACUUCUCCGAACCAUUCUACAAAUUUUAUUUAAAGAACCUUCUUGGUCUUUUUGUGGACACUUUCUUUGUUGCUCUGGUCAUUCUUGUCCCUAUCAAAAUUGCUGACCUUUUGGCACCAGAGGUGUUCCCACUAGAUAUCACGUAAGUAUUCAAUUUCUGUUCUUUAUCUGAUGUUUCUGCCCAUCUAUGCUCACUCAAAACAUUGAUUUUACUAUUUUUUUGAAUCGUAGCUACUUUGAUCAUCCUGCUAAGGGCACAUCAGUUUGGCAAGGGCCACUACUAAACUUUGCAGAGUUACUUUCUGCUGUUCAUCACAUGACGUAUCUCAUUGGCAAAACAGUCAUCUACCUUGGGCGUGUAAUGGAGAGGGUAGUGGGGUACUGAUUUGUCACUACUGGUCAGGCUCUUGGGAACAAUGUUGCACCAAAAGACCAGUAUGGUACCAGCGAUGAUGCUAAGGACGAAUGGUAAACACCCAUACUGAUUUUCACUCAGGGAGGAGCUGCACAGUCAGCCCUGAUUUUAGUCUCUUUGGCCAGACUGAAUCUACGUCCAUUUUAUAAUUUUAUCUAUCUUUUACUUAUUGUUUCACUGUUCACUGUUUAAAUAGGGUACUUCCAUUCUUGUAAAAUGGCCAGUGAUUUUGGCACGUGCUCUCCUGUUUACCUCUGUUCAAGGGGACAGUCCAUCUCAGCAUCUCUUGCGAAAAUGUUCGUCUUUCAUAGGGAAUUAUCGUGUACUCUUGGAUCUCUGCUCUGUCAAUUUAUUAAGCGAUGACACCUUGGCAUUCUGACAGUUUGGUGCUUAUGCUAGUCCAUCAACUGUUAAUUAUUUUAGUAAAAUUCUACCAUAGGGAAAACUUGCAAUUUGGGUCUCUGCUCACUGUCAAUUCAUUAAGCGGUCACACUUGGCAUGCUGACAAUUUGGUACUUAUGGUAGUCCAUAUUUUUCGAUUUGUUUUAGUAAAAUUUCAGGAUAGGGAUAACUUGCAAUAUGGUUCAAGUAGGCUUUAGGUUCCAGAACUAGAAGAUUACAUAUUUGGAUCCUCAAACCUAUAUAAGCCAAUCAAGUGAGGUACUGAAUCCAAAUAAUGUUUUGCUGCCUGACAUGGCUUUUAUAAGGGCAAUAUGGAUCAUGUGAUGCUUACUUACCCUUCUUGCACAUUGCAGCAGGAGAUAUGCUGCUGUUCAAACAAUUCUAGGCGUGGUCCUAGCAUGGUUGACUGCUGUGAUGUUCUAUUCUGCUAUGCUUUUGUUUCCAGUCUCAGUAGGUCGUGCAUUGCUGAUUGCCAUCCCUCCGCUGCCAGUAGCAGGUGGAUUGAAGUCCAAUGGUAAAUGACUGUUCAGAGAUAAUCAUUGGGCUUGCAAUGGAAGUAAAUUUUGAUCUUGUCUGGGCUUACUUGUGCAAGUAUUUUCUUGUAGAUUUGUUUGCUAUUUCUGUUGGAUUUUGCGUCAUAUCAACUAUCAUUGCCGCCCUUAGAGAUUUAUCUGCAUGCAUGACUUCUGGGGAACAUGCCUUCUAGCUUUGAAGAGGGAUCUGCUUUUCUUCAUAUGGGUGAGGAAUUCAAUCUAGGUGCCUUCAUUUAUAUAUUUUUCUAGUUUAUCCUACAGCUGAGUAACUUGAUUGUUUCUUUGCCAGACGGUCAUCAUUCCUCUCUUGAUUGGUUUGCUGGCUGACUUAUUACUGAUAUCACCCUUCGUUGGCACCGAUGAUGAUUUUCCAGCUCUAAACUUUUUCCGCACUUGGCUCCUGGGCCGGUUCUUUAAGCUCUUAUGGAUUAACCACGUCGAUGAAAGUUGGGAGGCGAAGCUUAAGCGGGCAAAUGAAGAUUUUGCUGCAGAGCUCAGACCAAUGUGGUGGUUCUUUCAAGAUGUGUGCAUUCCUGUCGCCAUGAAGCUACUCGUUGCUCUGGGUGUUCCUUAUGUUCUCGCCAAGGGCGUCUUCCCAAGAUUGGGCUACUCUGCCUCCCUGAACUCGACGGCCUACCGUUUCUCAUGGUUGGGCAGCCUUGGCAUUUGCGCCUUCUACUAUCUUGGCAAUGUGUUGUUCGUUCAGCUCCAUGAUUCUAUCAGGCAUGACCGCUAUGCCAUUGGGCGGAGGCUGGAAGACGUUGGAGGCAGAAGCUGAAGACUCUUUUCUGAGGACUUUCUUGUAGCAGUUAGUUCACUUCAGAUAGGGAUAGGGUGAGUAAUAUCAACACUUCGGUGUGCAGACGGAAAGGAAUAUAUAGGUCGCGUUACUGACAGGAUGGAUGCAAAUGAGAUGGUUCCAAACAGACAAAUUUCCCACGAAACUUGUACAUAUGGGCGUGGUUUUCUGUGUGGAGGGCAUUUGCUGAAUUCAGCAUUUGUGGACAUCUAAACUUGACAAGACAGUUUGUAUACUUGUUUCCGCAUCACAGCUGACUGAUUUCAGGUACACUUAGCAUGUUUGUUUUCAUUACACGACUGGCUGAACCCAAUGAGUUUUAAAAUUGCACAAUUGCUUGGUCCAAAGUUGCGGCAUUGAAAGUGUGCAACUCUGGCAGUAAUGUUUUUUGGAUGAAUGACCUCUGGCAAUUAUGUACCUAAGUGGUUUGUAGUUUAUGUUCGGCUGGGCUUGAUUUUUGCUGGAGAGAAAGGAAUAAGUUGGGCUUAAAGGUGUUCUUCUGAGAUACCGAUGACCUGCAAUGGAUCUAGCUAAUCUCUCUAGAAAACCUAGGGAGUUUGUCUGCUAUUCUCCCCUGCAUUUUUCACUUAGAAGUGCCAUUAGUAGUGAUUAAAGUGAUGAUUCAGUCAACAUAUAUAAAAGAUAUGUGCAGGUUCACAAGGGUUAUACUUCAUUUAUCUUCGUAUUAUUCUAGGGGUCCCCCGCAAUCUGCGUUUUAUAGAAGUUGUCAUGUAUGUGCGCUUUUUUGGUCUACGUGCGAUGUUUUAUUGUGUUCACGUCAUAUCUAGAAUGGACUUGCUAUACGGACUGAUAUGGGUGGGAUAUGACCGUUGUUUCAGCCUAGAGCAGGCACUCCAUGUUUGUGUUUCCCGUCUAUAGCCGGAACAUAUAUAUACUAGAGACUGUGAUAUUGUGUUUGCAUAUGGAAACAGCACCUCAUGUUGGAGUUAGCUUCGCUCCCCUGUCAAUGACUUUAAGUUCCCAAUUUGUUUCUGAAAAACCCAGCACUUUUACAUUGCAAUUCUCAUGGAAUGACUGCGGUAUUUUGGAGGUCGAGAACCCGAUAGUGUCGUUUGCUAUAUGAUCUCCUGUAAAAAGCGCACAGUUUGCAGAACGAAGUGAGGCUGAAGCGAGACCAGACAACCCUGCCCAUUUGCUGCAGUAGUACUGCGGUUAUAUUUGGGCUGGGACAUUGCUGAUAACACCUGUUGCGGAGUUCCUGUUUUUCGAAUGAAAAGCUCAUCCAUUUGGAGUCCCAGCCGGUCCUACUAGUGUAAUGCAUCGCAUAGUUAACUGCUUGCUGGCAUUAUCCUUAUCCUGUUGACGUUUCCUGGUACUCUGUUGCGCAGUGGGUCUUGCAGUUCUCAGCGCUCGAAAGUUGUCCGUCAGGAGCUCAACGGGUGAGGUAUCGCCCACCUCUGUUUUUCUUUUCAUAAAAUGUUAUGGCUCUUGCUGCUCCACAACGGCAAUUCUUAUCCGCUCGUAGCUCGUGCCACUCCUUCUGUCAGGCAUCGAAGGAAGGAAAUUUCAACAGGGGAGAGCUGGUCAAUGGUCACGCUGUGGCCCAGCAGAUCGCACCAGCCCUUUGCUUACCGGCCGGGGCUUGCCAUGUAGACCAGAAAUCAGCACGCGUCCGUCGCCGGCGAAGCGUGCACGCACUGCGCCGUGCCUGAUUUCCUUCGUUCCAAAGGCUUGUUGAUCGCACGUGCCACCGCUACCCGUCAAGACUGCAAUGGAGCUCAAGUGUCAGUAGUACUCCACGUGCCAUACGGGUCGAAAUGUUUAAUCGUAAAAGAGGGGUCGUAGCUGGUACUCCCUCCGUCCGGGAAAAGUUAUCUCCGUAACGUUUUUGCAAAAAACUCCUCCCCAGACUUCCCACAUAACCCGCACUCCUCGUCUUCUCCGGUCGACACUCCGCCGCUCUGACACAGGCGCAUGGACGCCGGAGCUGCCCUGCGCCGCGCUGCUCUCCUGCUCUCCCGUGUGUCCUCCACCACCGUCGCAGCUGCCUCUUCCGCCGCUCCCUUCUGCCUCGCGCAGAAUCCCUGCCUCCCUUGCCUGCCUCCCGAAUCUCUCCUCUUUCUCCCCAAAAAUCGUUUCUUCUUCCUCCCGCCGCAUCUCCUGCUCGCGCCCACCCCGUCCCUCCUAGCGUUGAUGGAAGAAGCGUGGCGGGCCCUUGGCUCGGCGGUCGGCUACGCUGCCUUCCGCCCCCGCCUCCCCCUGGCGCCGCCGCCUCGGCACCCGUGGCGUGGGGUGCGGCCGUGAUGGCGCGCCGGGAGACGGUGGCCAAGGAGUCGUCCUCGCAGGCGGUGAGCCGGAUCGUGUCCAGCUGCGCCAACUCGACCGGCCUGGCCCCCGUCCACCCGUCGUCGACGCCGACGCCGUCAUCUCGCUCGCCUCCACCGCGGGCCGGCUGGUCAAGAUGCCAGAGGUGCUCGAGGAGGUGCGCGACGCCACAACGCUCUGGAGGCUCGCGCUCCUGCCCACCCCCGUCGAGACCAUCGAGCAAGAGAGGUCGAAUGUUUACUUUAGCCGGCCCAAACCCUUGUAUUGCUGCUUUCAUUUGCUGAAUAGAGCUUAAACUCUGCACUUUCAUGGACUGAAGUUCAUUUUUCUUGAUGCUCUCUGCAUUGCUGUAUUCAGUAGGGCCAGCUCGAACCGUGUGCACCAGGAAGAAGGCUAGCUCGAACAUUGUUUGGUGAAGCAAGCAGCUGAGCUGGUUUUGUUCUUGUCGCCUUGGAUCGUGCAGCGAUUGGAGGAGGACUUGGUGCAGAGGAAUGGAGUACGAGUACGGAUGCUGCUUCCGUUGAUCUCAGGUGAGCUUGCUAGACGAGUACAGAUGCGUCCUUUGUGAUUUUAAAACUACUGUUAGCCAUGGAAUUUGAGUGAGCAACCACACAUUGAAACAACAUUGGGCAUACAGUAUGCUUUGAUCUCCAAUGUUCAACUACUAUUAGCUUGAGAUGAACAUACAGUAUGCUUGACUGUAUAACUGUAAAUUUGCCUGAACAUAUGCUUAAGAUGAACAUACAAUAUGCUUGACUGAAAUAGCUGUUCAUACACCUGGAAAUGUUACUAUGGGUGAAAUUACCAUUAAAAAAAUGUAUAACAAUAUUUGGAGUAUUUAUGAUGAUCAAAGUGUUUCUUACUCAAGUGUAAUUGUUGCCUCGUCCACCAUUUAGUAUUCCCUGCUUGACUCAAGCUCAGAAUUUAGGAGUAGAAUAGAGUAGGCUUCAAUUUGUCAGAACUGAAUUUUAGUCACUGAAAAUAUGACAGUGGAGUACUGUUCAAACUGUAUUCACUGUCUAAAUUUCAUUGAUGUCAAAUUUUAUUUAUGUGUCAAGUUUGACAUCAACUUGAUAGAUCAAAACCAGACAGAAAUUGACAGGUUUUGAAAGAAAAUGAUAGGUUCUGAACAUCAACUUGACUGAAUAAUAUAGUGUUAAUUCUGAUUGUUAACAGUAGAAUAAUACAGUUAAUAGCAGUGUAAUGGAGUGAGAAAUCUUACUGUAAAUUCAGUUAUUGUAGUUACUGAAACUUCACUGUAAACUUCCAAUACACAAAAUUCAGUUAUCUUUUUAGUAGGAAAAUUUCUGUAACAAAUUUCAGAAGCUUGUAUUUUCACACAUAUUGUGCACUAGCUGAUACAUCUGCGUGUUCUAGCAUUCUCCUUCCAAUGCAUACCGAUAUGAAACUUUCUUUUUGUUUAAUUUGUUGAGCUAUUGCUGCUGUGGUCGGACCCUUCCCCGGACCCUGCGCAAGCGGGAGCUACAUGCACCGGGCUGCCCCCUUUCUUUUAUUGCUGCUACUUAAUCAAACAAUGCAUACCGAUCUGCUGCUGCUUAUGUUUGGGACUUUGGGGUGCUGCAUCAAUGUGCAUCAAACAUGAUUAAGUUUUUUUUUGCUGUGAUAAUCCAAAAUGCUUCAGACUGCUAGAUUCAGUUUCUAGUGAUAAUCUAAAAUGCUUCAGACUGCAUAAAAUGCUUCGUUUGCUGUGAUAAUCCGAAAUGCUUCUUUUGAGUACAGUAGCUGUCAAAUUUAGCCUAUCUUGAGCUUGGGCUUGAGAGCUUCUUUAGCAAGAUCACUGAAUGCAGUGUACUCCGCUGGAGCUUCUUUAGCCUAUCUUGAGCUUGAGCUUGGGAGCUAUCUUGAGCUUGUGAGUAUAUUUGUACGUUUGCUCACAAUGGUGUACUGAAAAUUGCAAGUUAUAUAGUGUAGUGUUUUGUAAAUUCAGACUAGAUUUGAGCAAGAUAAACUUUACUGUUAUGAUUGAUAAAGAAAACUUUAGUGUUAUUUAGAUUCAGUGCAAGUAAAGGAAAAUUUAAUAAAAAAAUUCACUGUCAAAACUGAAACAUGCAGGAUGUGGUAUUAAUGUAGUGUUAUGCAUUUCUUUAUCAAUCAUCCUGAUGCCGUCGUGUGGACAUGUGGUAGCACUGAAUAAUGAAUUUGUGUUAACAAUGAAUUUGUGUGGACAUGUGCUAGCAUUUUCUUUAUCAAUCAUUGGUUCAUGUAAGUACUAUAGACCUUCUACAUAUAAUCUGAAUAUAUAGAAGCAUGUCUUUAUCAAUCAUUUUCUUCUCUAGAGGAGUAACAUUGCCUCAUCAAUGGUGAGAUAAACAGUGGUAUUGGAUAUUUUCAGUAGAAUCACUAAUGGAGAUAAUGGAUAGUGCAAAGGCCAAUAUGAUCUUCUUAUUUAACUAAUCACCAAGACAUACCCUAGUUAGUCUUGAGGAAUCUGGUGGAAUCAUAUUGCUUGUUUCCAAAAUAAAUUGAUUGAUUGUGCACUGAAAAUUGAUUGAUUUUUUUAGCAAAUUUAGAUAUGUUUAUUUGUUGUUAGAAGAAUCUUUGACUAGUUACAAGACAAAUUCCUGAUCUGUUAUUUUUUAACUUUGCAAAUAAUCUAUUUCAUUUAAACUACAGUAGUACAACAAUGAAGCAAAUAAUCUACUGCAGUUUGAUUUACUGCAAAUUACCGAAUCAAUUGACAGCUACUCUUGGUUAUCAAUUUGAUCUUCAUUUGCAUAAACCUGGUUGGUGCUUGCACUAUUUACUGAAAAUAAACCAUUAUUUACUGAAGAUAAACCUGGUUGACCUUCAUUUGCAUAAACCUGGUUUGUGCUUGCACUAUUUACUGAAAAUAAACCAUUAUUUACUGAAGUUAAACCUGGUUGAUCUUCAUUUGCAUAACUUGGUUGAGUAUUACAGAGCAAUUGACAGCAAAUUGAUCUGGUUGGAAUUCAGAUAGCAAUAGUAACAGUUAACUGAACUUCUUUUUUUGUAAUAUUUCUUCAGAGGACAUGAUCAAUUGUGUUUCAAAUUACAGAGCAAGAAAGGUCCGGCACUGGAGAUGAAAAAGCAAGGAGCCUUGUACUUCUUCUCACCGACAGCAGCACGAGCAGGGGACCUCCGGCGACAGCACACCAGCAGGUGACCUCCGGGCGGCUACACGAGCAAGGGACCAGUAGCAACUUGCAGAGCAGCAGGGGAAAGAGCUCGAGCUUGAGGUCCAGGACGAGCUUGAGGGAGCUCGAGGUCCAGGCGCGGCCGGAACUCGCGGUUGAGGCGCUCGAGACCCAGGCGCGCACAAGUCCUGGCCGGCGGCGGCACAGAUCCUGGGUGGCAGAGGGGAUAUCAGCCGCGCAGGCCUGGCGGCGGCGGCGGCCCAGGUCCUGGGUGGCGGAGGAGCACGUCCUGCGUAGCGGCGGAGCAAGCAAUUGGGUGGUGCAGGUCCUGGGUGGCGGAGGACCACGUACUUGGCGGCGGCGGAGCAAGCAAUUGGGCGGCACAGGACCUGGGCGUCGGAGGAGCACGUCCUGGGCGGCAACGGAGCAAGAAAUUGGGCGGCGCAGGUCCUAGGCGGCGGAGGAGCAAGUCCUGGGCAGCGCCGGCGUAGGCCCCCGGCGGUGACUUGCCCUGGCGACGCGCGCGGGCGACGGGCAGAGGAAGAAUGAAGAAAAAAGCGACCUGUUUGUAACAGAUUUUAAGCUACGAUGGCGUUUUUGCAAAAUUCGCAGUACAUUAAGCUGUGGACAACUUUUUUCGGAGGGAGGAGUAGAUCAAAGUGCUGGACAUUAGCUACGUACGUGGCGCCAGUUUGAUCGUAUCGGCCGGAUAAUGUCGGCACUCGGCACGGCGCUCCAUAAAUCGGGUCGUGGGUAGCGGCCGCUACACGACGGAGGGAACAGAAAGCUAAUUUUAUGAGAUUGCCUUUGCCAAGCUAAUUUAAGAAUUGGGUCAGCUUCUACCAAAGCGCUCUUCUGCUCCUCGGCUCAGAUGAGCUUGGUAUAAACAGUAAGAUACUAAAAUUCGGAAAAAUGAAAAUCAUUUAAAAAUACGAAAUAGGUAUAUGGCAACCGUGUGACAGAUUGCAAAACUGCCACACGCCUCCCGAUCUCCUUCGUUUUUCACACGUCCUCCCCGACCUCCCUCCCGAUUUCUUUCCUUUCCUGCACGCCUCCCGAUCUCCUUCCUUUCCCGCGGGCACACCCGCUCGCGACUUCCUAAUUUUCGUAAUCGUCAAUUAUGGCCUCACGCGACUUCCUAAUUUUCGGGCAAAAAUAAUGCUUGGACUAGGAUUUGAUCUCUGGUCUGCAGGUAUGCAGGUAAUCAACAAAGGGAACUAACCACCUCACCUAUGACACUGAUUGUUGAACAAGCUAAGGGGAAUACUGUUUUUGACAUGUUUUUGCCUUUAAUAUGUUAGCACUGUUUUUUUUGUUUCAAGCAUCGUGGUAACUUUGAUCAUUGGGAAUAAAUUUGUUGAACCCGCCCCCCGGUAAUUUCUGUAAAUGGCACGAUAACAUUCACGCUAUAGACCUGAUAAUUUAGAUACAAACAUCGUGGUAAUUUUAACCAUUGGGGAAGAUAAAUGUGAAAAGAUACCCGAUAAUUUAUGUGUAAAUAGAUGGUAAUAUACACAGCGCACAUCUGAUAACUGAGGUAGAAACACCAAGGUAACUUUGACCGUAGGGAUUUUUUUUUGAAAAGAUACUCCGAUAUCUUCUGUGUAAAUAGCACGGUAGUAUAUCUCCCUCCCCUGGCAUUUUUAUGUGUAAAUAGCAUGAAAAUAUAUGCACUGCGAUAACUAAACACCAUGAUAAGUUUCUGACCCGUGGGGGAGAAUUUGCUGAAACAUACCCUGAUAAAUUUUAUGUAAAUAACAUGAUAUUUUAAGCACUACGGGCUUGAUAAGUUACCUAGAAUCACCAUGAUAACUUUUUUCUUCCAGGAAAAAGUUGUUCAAAACAUCCCCAAUAAUUUUCGUGUAAAUAACAUGAUAAUAUAAGCACCGCAUAACCGAUAACUUGCAAUAUAAACAUGAUGGUAACUUUUUUUUACCAAAGGAAAAAAGUUGUUAAAGACAUACACUCGCCGCGCGUGGGCCUCUUGGAUGAACACAACACAUGGCAUGCCACGAGAAAGUGACAUAAUGUUUAGUGUCAUGAGGGGCACACGUGCUAUAGGCGUGAUAAGUUACGCAAAAACAUCGUGGUAAUUUUUGACCUAUGGAAAAUGCUACCGAAACACACCCAGGUUUUUAGCUGCAAGUAUCAUGAUAAUAUACGAACUGUAGACCCGGUAACUCAUGUACAAUCCCCCAUGGUAACUUUGACCAGGGGGAGGUUGAUGUACAUAUACCCUGAUAACUUAUGUGUAAGUACCACGGUAUUUUACACAUCGAAAACCUUCUAACUUGUGUAUAAAAUACAUUGAUAACUUUGAAGGGGUGUAGUUGUUGAAGCAUAGUACCUCGUACGUUCUAUGUAAAUAGUAUGGUAAGUUACGCAACACAGGCUUGAUAGCUUGCAUACGAAUAUCAUGGUAACUUUGUCUUGAGGAGAAAUCAUGUGGUAGACGUGAAGAAGUGACAGUUUUCUCGGGGGUGGGCGCGCGAGAUGUGCGGGAGAAACAUGUUUCUCGGGCGAGCCUCCGGGGUCAUUUGGGAGGAGGCGAGGUCAAAGGACGGGGGAUCGUGUGGUACUUUAAAAUGAAAGAAGUAGAGGUGUGGCAGUUUUGUUUAUAUGGCACACGUGUGCCAAAUAUCACAGUCCUUAAAAAUAUGUAAAAAAAAUAUGACAAACAUUGAUAAAUGUUCUGAGUGCUUGUAAAAUUUAAUCAUGAAAUGACUUUCGUGGAAGUCGUGGCAAAAAUAAAUAAAUCAUCACUCCAAAAUGCUUUUGAAAAUAACAUUUUUACAGCAUUGAUUUUUCUUUUUGCCAUGACUUCUAAAAAUGUGAUUUCGCGAUGAGAUUUUGCAAGCAUUCAAAACAUUGUUCAAUGCUUGGCACAAAAAAAUUCUUAAUUUUUUAUUGUUUUUCAAGUUUUUUCAAUUGUACCGUUCUCCCAAUUUUAUAUGAGCUCGAGCUGGCACCUAACUACUUACUAGCAUGGGUAAAGCAUCUUGAGAGCCAUUGCUAUGGUAGGUCCACGAUGGCUGUGUAAUUUGGUUCUCAAUCAUCUUGCCUGCUUAUAAAGUUAUGUCGGGUGAAUUCAAUUUUCUUCCACUGCUAUUGUUCACAUGUGGGGCCAUUAACCUUGUAAAAGUCACAAUCAAACAAAUACAUUUUUGCUCACAGGUGAUGCUAGCUACCUUUCCAGAAGCAUAUAUAAACAAAUACACUUCUACUCGUAUAUAAAAACAACACAAAUACAUCGUUCACACCAACACUCUUAUGAAAGAACAAAUAACAAAUACGGAAAUGAAACAUCAGCUCAAAACAACUCUUGUUGCUUUAUAUCAUAGCAUAAAAGAGCAAAGAAAAUCUAAUUUCAAUACAUCGAUGGACCUCGUCCUCCUAACUGAUCAUUGACCUCGUGCAUUCUCCUUUCUAAUGCUAAUCCUCCCACAUUUCAAAACAUAAAAUGUUACCUCACUUCAAAUCUUGCAAAGCCCCUAUCAUCGCCGCUUAAGUUUCUCCAACGGUCGUUGCAUGUAGAUCUCCCCUCGCCUUCUUGCUCCUUUUUAACCAUGAACAGCGCAAUAGUCGUGGGACACAAACGCCUUUCGGUGGUCUCAUAAGCCGACUGCCUAUCUCCACGACUUUGUUGUGCCUUCGUUGCAACACACAGGCAUUGUGCUAGUGGUAGUGACAUUUAGUUAGAAUGAUAUGUAUACUGCCAUGCUUUUAGGUAAUUACUUUGCGUGUUGUUUUUAGGAUCAUGUUGCGAUGCACAAAAUUCAAAAUGAAUCAGUUUUGAAAAUAGAAAUAGACUAGGAAAUACCACUUGUUGGAGUAGUUCAAGUUAAUUAGACACGAGAUCAAUUUCCUACAAAUUAUAUUUAACCAAUUUCUAAUUAAGGAUACUCGGUGAAAGCAACCCCAGCAAUAGCCCCCAUUUUCAUGCUCCCGUACACCAAAUGGAGGUUGCACCAUUUCUUGAGCCCCCAUAAAUUGCCUCCUCUAACUNNNNNNNNNNNNNNNNNNNNNNNNNNNNNNNNNNNNNNNNNNNNNNNNNNNNNNNNNNNNNNNNNNNNNNNNNNNNNNNNNNNNNNNNNNNNNNNNNNNNNNNNNNNNNNNNNNNNNNNNNNNNNNNNNNNNNNNNNNNNNNNNNNNNNNNNNNNNNNNNNNNNNNNNNNNNNNNNNNNNNNNNNNNNNNNNNNNNNNNNNNNNNNNNNNNNNNNNNNNNNNNNNNNNNNNNNNNNNNNNNNNNNNNNNNNNNNNNNNNNNNNNNNNNUGUGGGACCUGCAGUGCCUCAAGUUUCCUUUUUCUUUUUACCACCCAUCCUUCCAAUCGUUGUCGUGUCGAUUAAAGCACUAGAAUCAAUUGAGGCCAUGUAGGUGUUGGAAUGUGUUUUGUAACUAUGUUCAAAUUACUUGGAACUACUAAUAUUCAGAAAUCCUCAUUAUGGAAUUUUACAUGUAUUUAUACAUGGAAUUGCUCUACAUGUUUACCAUGAAAUUUUACUUACUGGAACAUAUUCAAGCAUUCAAAGCUUAAGGAAGGUGGCCGAUUAUCAAUGAAAAACAAUACUUUGUAUUUAUACUGAAAAGGCUACCCGGGUACAUUGAUAAUUGGAAGGAAAGGUCAUGGAUUAGGUUAUGGCCCUAAUCAUCGCGCAUUGCUCACAAGUGUGUGUUUCAGGGGCUCAACUGAUAGAUUCCGUUAACAGACAAACUAUAUCGUGGUUGAUAGUUUGAUCUGAACUCUACAUGGAAAUUAGUUUUAAUUAUUAGGAAUCUUAUCUGUAUAAGAGUUAGACUCUUUGAAAAGAUAGUAUAAGAAGGUCCCUACCUCCAAUCCUUAGAUAUGCGUGAGUGGCAUCAUGGAUAAGCGUAGAGAAAUAGAGAGUAGCCUACGAAAAAUAUUCCCAACACCAGGGAGGAAAGGUACAGUAGAUUGGAGCACGAGAAUGAUGACCAAGGGGGGUCGAUAGGGUGGGAUGGCAGCCGAAGCAAUGGCGGCAUGACACAAGCUCGAUGACAGCCAUAUCUAGGGUUAUGGAAGGGCGAAGAGCGGCUACAAGGCAUACGGAGAUCGGAUGGAGAGGAGAGAGAGCAUAAGGGAGGUUCUGCGGUGCGAAAGAGGCCGUUGGCGGCUGGAAGCACCAUCAGCGCCGUUGCAUCAAGGUUGUAUCAUUCUCCCUAUUGUUGGGGCCGUAAUUGGAAGACUUGUUAAAUCUUGGCAUCUUGCUUUUCCUUUCUUUCGCCCCCAACCUCUAAAAGCUGCUUAGAGGACUGGGGACUAUGUGUUUAGGGGCCUGUUGAAGUUGCUCUAACCCUUUAGAUCAACGGAAUCUGGAAGCAACUGUUGAACUGCAACAUCAAGUCUUCUAGCUAGCAUAUCUCUUGCCCCUCCUUUUUAAGCUCUUGCCUUUGCCCUACUUAUUCGAUUCAAUGCUGCUGGCCAGUCGGCCACCUUUGCUUAGUAACUCAGUGAUCUGUCCCUGUCAAAUUCUAUCACCACGGCCUAUUCUUUGUUUUCACUAAAGCGGGGUGGCUCACGUUACGCCAUGGCCCGCCAGGAUAUCCGAUAGAAAAGAGGCCGGGCAUCUUUUCCGUUUGGCCUAAAGGCUCCCACGAUCGACAAGAGACGGCGUAGUGUCAUGCACCGUUAAAUAAGCGAAAAACAGCGAGACUGGUACGUCAACCUGCGCACAUGCCGACGACCAUUUUGGCCACACAGUGAAUCUGUACGUACGCUGACGGUGAAUCAGUGGAUAGAAAAUGAAGACGCGCAUCUUUUCCGUUUAGCCUAAAGGCUCUCACGGCUGUCGACGUUAGAUAAUCCAGAGUGAAAACAGAGAGACCGGUGCGUCAACCUACGCACUUGCCGACGAGCAUUUUGGUCAGAGUGAGCGGUGAAUCAGUCGGGCUCUUCACGUACGGUGCCAAAGCGGCAGUAGUUUUCCAUUUAGUAAUAAUUUACAUCAGGUGACGGACGAUCCAUUCAUUCAUGUAGUAAGUACUUAAUUAUAUAUAUGCAGCCUACACGUCAACUAAAAUAAGCACGGGUCCGUAGCAUGGCAUGCAGCUGCUUAAAGCAAAGCACCAGUAGUGAGUGCUCCCGGUUCAUUCACGCACGUAGUACUCUCGUCGCCAUCCGUUCCAAAACUUUCACACGUGAUGUGACCUCCGUCCGUGGCCAUGGGUCGUGACCACCCGCGCGCGCCCUCCUAGUAGGUCAUGAGGGAAGCCAGCCCCAGCGCUGCCGCCGGCGGGAAGGCGGCUCCUCCCGGCCCGCUGCCAGCGCCCGGCCCCGGACGGCGCGCCCGGAGCUGCUGCGUGAGCCGCUGCAGCGCGAGGAGGCGGUGGAGCCGGCGCUUGAGCGCGGCCUCCUCGGCGCGGAGCCGCGCGUUCUGGCGGCGCACGGCGAGCUCGUGCCGCGCCACGGCGUGCAGCUUGGCGGCCAGCUCGCGCUUCUCGGCGCGGAGGCGAGCCACCGUCCCGCGGAGCUCCUCCAGGCGCUGCUGCUUGCGCGCCCGCGACCGCUGCGCCGACAGCCGGUUCGACACCUUCCGGCGCUGCCGCCGCCGGCGCUCCUCCUCGUCCUCCACCAGCCCCGCCGCCUGGUCCACCGCGCCGCCGGACGAGCUGGGGGACGACGUGGACGACGCCGCCAUGAGCUCCUCCAGGGUGGGGCACGUGUCGGGUGCCCACGGGGUGAACCCGAACCCGGACGUCAUCGCGUCCAUGUCAAGCCCGAUCGCCUCCUGCAGAGACAGCAUUUUCCUUCUUUCCCCUGACACUUAACGCCAACAGCCACAGCAAAAUGAAGGACUAAACCGUAAUUCCGGGAAUCUAGGGGGGCUCGAGAGAGGGAUCGGGGAAAAGGGAAGAAGCGAUGAGGAAACUGGCGGUAUUUAUAGACCCGGCGCGGGCCGAGCCGGGCCGUCGAGCCUCCCUCGCCGCGGGGCCCGCAACCCACCCACGACGCGGGUCCUGCAUUUACGUGAGGCUUCUUCUUCCUUCGCCCCGGUGGCUUUCUUUCUUGGCCGCCUUUUUCUUCUCGGCGGGUAAAGAUUCUACGGCUGUGACAGUAUAUCCAAUCACCAGGCGGGCCCGUAUGUGCCUGCCCACGUGCUCCCGUCUUCGCGGCACGGACGGCGCCGAUGAGCCCAGCGGCGGCAAUGGAGGGCGGAUCGCGCAUGCAUGCCCGUGCGGGCCCACGUGGCGCCCCUCCUCCUUUUGCGUGGGUGCUCGGUUGGUGCAACGUGGGUCGCGGGCCCGCGUAGGUCCAGGUAGGNNNNNNNNNNNNNNNNNNNNNNNNNNNNNNNNNNNNNNNNNNNNNNNNNNNNNNNNNNNNNNNNNNNNNNNNNNNNNNNNNNNNNNNNNNNNNNNNNNNNNNNNNNNNNNNNNNNNNNNNNNNNNNNNNNNNNNNNNNNNNNNNNNNNNNNNNNNNNNNNNNNNNNNNNNNNNNNNNNNNNNNNNNNNNNNNNNNNNNNNNNNNNNNNNNNNNNNNNNNNNNNNNNNNNNNNNNNNNNNNNNNNNNNNNNNNNNNNNNNNNNNNNNNNNNNNNNNNNNNNNNNNNNNNNNNNNNNNNNNNNNNNNNNNNNNNNNNNNNNNNNNNNNNNNNNNNNNNNNNNAGCUUAAUCGCGAAGUAAUGGCCGCGAGAUGCCGCGCAUCGAUGGCUGGGGUGCAACUGCAUCUGCAUGCAGUGCCGUGCCCGCGCACUUGUGGGGGCGUCCCAUUGGGCGCCGCGCCGUAGGCCACUGCUCGCCGGGGCCCGCCGGCGCCGGCGUGGCGACCCAGGAUCUCGUUCGCGGCCGGGCGACCGCCACGUUAGCCCGACCAACAGCGGGAGGGACACGGGCUUGUCUUGACCGCUAGCUAGCUGACUACGUGUGGGUUUUGUGUUGCGUUGUGUUGUGCAUGCUGCUGUCACGAGGCCACUUACACUUGCACAGUGGGCUACAAUGCGCUAAUGCGUCACGUGGCAAAUAAGUACGUAAGUACGUACGUAGGCAUGGAUGGUUCUUUUUAAAGCAUCCACUGCACAAGUAUGUACACGUAUGUACGCGUGGUACUAGGAGGCUAUACGUGUGUGGUGAUCGAAAAAGCUGGACGAAAGUUGCGAUGGGCAAUGGCCUCGGCGAUGUGCGGCACUUCCGGGAGUGUCAGCUUCAGCCGCCUAAUCAUGCUUGAUUAAAGAUGGAGCUGUGUGUGGUAUGACGAGACGCGAUCGAUCGGUACCUCAGUAACAUCACACGUCGCCGGUCGAGCAAACGUACGUACCGUUCAGUGUGUUCGUCUAGCAUGUGCGGGUGCAACGAUUGGUUCUUUUCCGGAUGCGUGGCGAUCGAGUCGCGGCAACUGAAUUAGGCGCUGGGUUUUCUCCACGUUUCCUUAUGUCUACUUGCGUCCGAUCCUUCACGUAUUCGCCAAAUGCACGUGGCAAUGUCUAUAAGUCCUGGUAUAUCUCGUUUCCUUGCACAUAUAUGUGAUCUUCUGUUGUGGUAGACCUUGAAGUUAGGGCUCUCAAUGACAACAUGUUGGCAACCUCAAGUACUAGCGAAUUAGAAAGCAUGUUGACAACCUCAAGUACUAGCAAGUUUGGGCUCUCAAUGACAACAUGUUGGCAACGUCAAGUUAGGGCUCUCAAUGACAACAUGUUGGCAACCUCAAGCACACACGUAUAAUUAGAUAGAUAGUAUCUCAAGAAGUUUUACCUCGUCGACUCUCACUCUCGAUCGUGACCCUCCCCAGUCGCCGCAUGGAUGUUGCGUAAGAUCUGGUUGUCCGAGAAUCUAAGCUAUGUUGUAUGCCGAUAGGGGUGGAGUCGGCAUGUUUUGAUUGGGUUCAGAAGGUCUAUACAUAUAUCUGUAUAUUUGCAUUUGUAUUCGUUUUAUCAGAAGGUCCAUAUAUCUGUGACGUAAAUUUUAAAAUGAAUUACUAUCUUAAAAAAAUCAUAGCUUCUUUUAGACGAAAGGCACGACUAGGGGAUGCUCCCUUUCAAGAUUAAUAAAGCCGGAAAAGACCGGAACCAAAGUCUUGCAUGCCGUGAACAUCACUCUAGUAUGGAUGUUCCACAUAUCUCAACAGUAGAUAGCAAAACAUAUGGAUAAAAAUACAUCUAGGUGGACUUGAAAAGCUCUGUAUGGUGAAAAAAGUUCCAUGAGACAAACUGAAUCACAACCACAACCUAGUAACUCUCUCACACCCUAAACAUGAAAUGAGCUAGAUGGUAGAAAAAGAAAUUGCGUCUCUCGUUCUCACAUUGGCUCAUACUGCCUUUAUGGAGGGAGUACUUCAUAAUGCCCAUCCGAUUGGACGUGAGAGUUCAUAAUUAGCCCAUGCGAUGAGAUGUGCCAUUUCGUAAUUUGAUUUCCGGAGGAAAGGUACUUUUGAUCAGCUGCCAUGCAAAGCUUGAUGGGCAAGGUUGCAACUUAACCAUCCCUAAAAUGGACCGAGGAUUUCUCUUGGAUGAGCUUCAAUUACUAUAAAUAAUUGGAAGUGAGCCGAUGGAAACGUUGUCAACCACCUAACCAAGCUCCAUUUCUCUGAUCUCCACCGGCCAAAACACUACCGAAAAAGGUUGAAUCCAUCACCUCUGAACGCUUGGCUCACAGAUAUAUGGGUUUUAUAGUAUAUGUAAAAAAUAAGCGGUUAGCGGUCUUUCAGCGGAAUUGGACCGCACCACCAGUCUAACUAGAACCUGAUUUGACGCCCAUUAAUUACCUUAUGUUCAACACCCAAUUUGAAGAAAUGCUAGGUUGAGUGCACACUUGUCCAAUAAUGAGAUCCUCCCUGCCUCGUCCACGAAAGUAUAUUAUUAACCUCCAUAUAUAGCUAGAGCCGCUGGCUCCUUCUAAAGACCUAGCUUCUUGAUCGGAAGCUAUCCUAUAUGUUUUUAAGUUCAACAUAGAUGUUCACGAUACUGGCAACAAACCAAUUAUAGCAAAGUCAGAUGGAUGGCGUUCAUUGCUUCCAACACCUCAAAGAAAACAAUCCAAAAGAAACUUAGUGCCCGCUUGUUGGCAAGCAAUUCUCUACACGGAAAGAUCAAAAGAAUAUGUGGGUGAACUAAGCAAGUGUGUGGCCCCCAAAAAAUGAGAGAGAAAAUUAACCAGCUGAGUGCCAUGCUGUCAACAUACCAUAUGCAAAUCCUCCAUCAUCGUAUACUACAAUGUUGAAACUUCCCUUACUUGUUAAGGAUAAAUGGUAGCACGAUCAAUAAUUUUGUACUCACAUAACACACAUAUACAUAUAUUAUGCUGCUACAACAUCCACAAUUGUGUACAUCAUCAUGAUAUACAUGACAAAGUCGGUUAGUGGAUUGUGUUAGUGAAGUUGUAAUUACAUGGGUUAAUAGUGUCAGGUAUCUCCAUCCCACUCAGCUAGUGUUGCAAUUGCAUAUGAGAUUAGAGGUAAGAAAUAGCGACCUUCCCCAUAGGCAUAGUCGUGACUGGCUAUGUAAUAUUACCUCUCUUUUUUGUGUGUCACGGUUGUGUGCCUCCUAACUAUGUAGAAGUCAAGUGUAAAUUCGUUAUGCUUGUAUCACUAGAAGGAAAAGGCAAGGGCUGUAAUUGCAUAUCAGAUUAGAAGUAAAUUUUGUUACGUUGUUUCCAAGCUCUGUAAUUGGAGAACCUUUUACAAUUCACAAUGUUUUUUACUCCCUUGACAUGCCUAGUUAAGGUAAAGCAACCAAUUGAUCGGUUCCUUUGAGCUUUCAAGACAUGUGGCUUAACCUCGUGCACUAAUCAAAGCCUUUUUGCAUAUUAGUGGAGUAGGUGGAUGCCAACAGGACAUAUCUGGGAUCCAAUUCGGAGGAUUUGAUAAUUAUAAGUACACGGGUUGGUAUGGACUAUGGAAUACCAGAGGAAACAACCGGAAAGGCAUUGAUGAUAUAUAGUGUGACAUAAGGGAUUGGGAUACAUAGCAAAUGUUACUAGACAAUGGUGUGGUGCUUGGUUCUGACUAUUUGAUGUGUUCCACUUUUUGUUUAGUCCAAGUAAUGGUAGUUUUUUACUAUUUGUGGGGGAAAGUAUCCAAUUAAUGGUAGUUGUCAACCUGAUUGGAUAACAUUGGUUUUUCUCCAAUGUUCCUUGGCUGCAGGAAAACGACGUACACAUGCAUAGCAAAUAUAUAUCUACACCAAAGGGUGGUGCAUAAUUAGUGCAAAACUAAAUGGGGCAUAUAUAUCCAUCAAGUGUGAUGGCGUAAGCAAAAAAGAAAGCAUCAAACACGGGUAAAGUAAAACUAGAGGUGAAGCUGCACAUAGCAUUUCUACCGUUUCAUUAUUCAAAUGAUCACUAGACUAAUAGCAAUAUUCUCCUAAUGUUAUGUACCUUUAGCUCUGCCCAGAACCAGAGGCAUCCCGAUAAUUAUUUUACAAGUAAAACAACUCAUGCGUCAUAUUUUCUUCUUUGAAGAAUUCAAAUUAAUCCCAUAUCUUCAAAACACCAUAUAUGUGGGUUAUAAAAUUAUUCAAAUCGUUCACCGUUGGUUCUUUACGGCCCUGGUUUGUUUUGACCUCCACGCGUGAUGGAUCGACCCCUCUUCCCUCCCCAAAGGUCAUAUGUCUUCACGGUUUGAGGCUCUGGCGUUUCUUGUCAACUAUGCUAUCGGUGGGCGUGUGUUGGAUCUAUGAUCCCCAUGAUCACCACAACUCUUCCUAUUGUUCUAUGGCCAUUGCAAGUGUCUAUCGACUAGAGAACAUUAUGGUAAUGCAUGCAAACACAUGCAUGGUGGUAACGUUUUAAAUCUCAUGAAUUGUCUUUUGGGAAGUGGUGGUAGAAGGGUUGGAAAUAGAGAGGGCCCACAAAACUAGAAGAAAAGUAUUUAGGCUAGGGGAGGAGGGCUUGCCACCAAAAUAAUGGCUAUGUGGCGAUAGUCAGCCGGCCGCACAUAUGUCCAAGCUUAUCAGGGCCGCCUAGGAUGUGCAACGAACAACCUGAGUACAUUCAAAUCUACAAGUCCAAUUUUAAAAAAUUGAGAUUAACUUGACAUAAAGAAAAAAAUGAGUUCACACACAUCAUCCGCCUUAUCUACACACAAUUAGUGUUUAUUAUGAAAUGUAUGUAGAAAUAGCCUACCCUUGCGCGAGAAAGCACCUUACACGAGUGCCACUAUUUUAACUUGUCGAUACGUGAUGCGGAUAAGAAGACAUAAGACCAAAUUCCACACCCAACCACACUCUUUUUCCUAGAAAUCCUCUUGAGCAACAAAAACCAUCUAGCUGCCCCAGAGCCCCGCUUUGCAAAAGCACGGGAUCACUUGGUAUGGAGGCGCACACACAUGGGGAGUGUAACCCCGGACAACGUGGGGUGAAGAAACUUAGUGCCCGCUUGUUGUCAAGCAAUUUCCUACAUGAAAGAUCAAAAGAACAUGUGAAUGAACUAAACAAGUGAGUGAGCCAAAAAAGAGAAAAAAAAUUAACCAAGUGAGUGACCAUGUUGUCGGCAUACCAUAUGCAAAUCCUCCAUCAUCGUAUACUACAAUAUUGCAACUUCACUUACUUGUUAAGGAUAAACAUUAGCACGAUCAACAACUUCGUACUCACACAACACACAUAUACAUAUAAUACACUGUGACAACAUCCACAACUGCGUACAUCACGAUAUACAUGACAACGAAACUAGUGGAUAGUGUUAGUGAAAUUAGAGUUACACGGAUUAGCAAUGCCAGCCAAAAACGAAAAGAUACUGACUCGGCUAGUUAUAUAACGACAUAUGAGAUCAGAAGUAAAAAAAAAUAGCGACCUUUUCCAUAGACAUAGUCGUGAGUGGCUAUAUAAUAUUGCCUCUCUUUUUUGUGUGCGUCACGAUUGUGUGUACCCCAACUACACAGAAGUCAAGAAACUAGUUAUGCAUGUAUCACCUUAAUGUGACGUUAUACUCCCUCCGUCCGCGAAUAAGUGUACAUCUAGCUUUUGCUCUAAGUCAAAGUUUUAAAAUUUUGACCAACUUUAUAGAAAAUAGUAGUAACAUAUAUGACAUCAAAUUGAUAUAUUAUGAAAGUACAUUUCAAAACGAAUCUAGUGAUACUAAUUUGGUGCCAUAAAUGCUUUUAUUCUUUCCUAAAAAGGUGGUCAAAGUAUUAAAACUUUGACUUAAGACAAAAGCUAGAUGUACACUUAUUCGCGGACGGAGGGAGUAAGUCAAUAGAGCGUCUUUUAUGAGAAGGAAAAGGCUAGGGCUGUAAUUGCAUAUCAGAUAAGAAGUAAAUUUCGUUACGUUGUUUGCAAGGUAUCUAAUUUGAGCACCUCUUGCCACUCGCAAUAUUUUUGUACUCGCUUGACGUGCCCCACUAAGCAACUAAAGCAACCAAUUUGAUCGAUUCCUUUCAGCUUUCAGGAUACGUGGCUUAACCUGGUGCACUAAGCAUAGCUUUUUUGCAUAAUGGUUGUGUAGGUGAACGCCAACCGGACGCAUCUGGGACCCAAUUGGGAGGAUUUGCUGCUUAAGUACACUGAUUGGUAUUGGUUAUGGACUAUGGAAUACCAGAGGAAACAGAUGGAAAGGACUUGAUGAUAUGAAGUGUGGCAUAAGGGAUACAUACCAAAAGUUAUUGAGCAAUGGUGCAAUGCUUGGUUCUGACUAUUUGAUGUGUUCCACUUUUAGUUUAGUCCAAGUAAUGGUAGUAUUUUGUUGUCUGUGGGGGAAGUAUCCAAUCAUGGGUAGUUGCCAGCUUGGUUGGCUAUAAAGAUGCAUUGUUUUUUCUCUAAUGUACCUUGGUGUAGAAAAAUGACAUAUACAGGCGGUGUGGAAUUUUGGGGACAUGGGUCUAUGCGCACUGGAUUCAACAUUUUUUGUAUUUUUCUUGCUGCCAACAUAGUCUAGCAUAACACUCACAUUCAAAGUUUUGGGACAAAACGAGUUAUGCCGUAUUCUAAAUGAAAAAAGAAAAUUGCAGCCACAAAAACCAUGGAUAGUAGCUUUUAUAUAGUAUUGAUUUGGUUGUAUUUUGUUCGGAAUACAUCAUAACUCGUUUUGUCAUGAAACUUUAAUCAUGAGCAUUAUGUUAGACCAUGCAUGUUGCCAAAAAAGUCUUACAGAUAUUUGGCUAUCUGACUUAUUAUUUUUUCAAUUCGUGUGCCGCGCAUCAGGUCUGUAUUUUCGCAUAUGCAGGAUUAUAUAUUCUCGUCAAAGGGAUAGCGCGUAAUAAGUGCAAAAUAAUUGAGGUAUCUAUAUCCAUCGAGAGUGAUGGCGUAAGCAUAAAGGAAAAUCAUCGAUGGUAAAGUAAAACUAGAGGUGAAGCUGCACGUAGCACUAUUCUCCAAAUGGUAAAGGUCAAAUUAGCCCCGUUUCUCAAUUUCUCCUAGGCACCCCCUGAUCAAUUUGUCCUAGGUAAAGUAAAACUAGAUGUUCACUGUAGGUCCUCGGCAUCCCUGAUCAAUUUGUUUUUAGGAGCCAUCCCUGAUCAGUUUUGACACGUAUGCACACCUAGUUGACAAACGCCACAUAUCCAUUAUUUUGGUGGCAAGCCCUUCUCCCCCAACCCAAAUUAUUUUCUUUUGCUAGUUUUGUUACCCCUCUCUGUUCCUCUACCCCUUCCACUGCCACUGCUUGAAGCCAAUGCAUGAUUUAAUACCUCGCCACCUUGCACGUAUGUGCAUGUAUUACCGUAACGUGCUCUAGUUGAUCGACGCUCGCAAUGGCCAAAGAACAAGAAUAGUGGUGGUGAUCAUGGUCAUUGAGCUAACACGCGAUCGCCGAUGGCACAAUCCACAAGAAAAAAAGGUAGAGCCUUCAACCGAGAAGAAACAUAACAACUCAGGAGGGGAACGGGGUCAAUCCUUCACCUGCCGGCGUGGGGAUGCCGGCUCCCGCUUAACGCGAACUCGCGUCAGGGAGGGUGGCUCCUCCUUCACGCGCACUGGCGACGGUGGCGCUGGACCCAUCUGACGGAACGAGCGCUCCGUCAUGAUCUUCAUCUGACAGACGAAUUCUUCGUCCGCGAGAGCCGCCUCCAAGAGUAGGCUUGGCCACUGCUGCGGCUGGUCCUCCUCGUCGCCGGAGGAGAGGACUAUCUCCUUCUUGCCGGAGGAGCCUGCCGCCGUGGAUGCGGAUGGUUUAGUUGAGCGAGGGCAGCGAUGCCACGAUCCGCCUGACGACGAACUUCCACCGGUGGCGCCUACCGGCGUGGAGAACCAGGACUUCGGCAUCUCCGCUAGGCUCGGAGAAGGGGAGGAGGACGGUGCGGUGCUCGGGAAGGUGCGGAGCUGGACGAUGCCGGAGUGUGGCUUAAAUUGCCGCGGCCAGGGCAUGCGGAGGGGCGGUCAGCCCGCUUCAGUGCGGCGCAGCGGCCGGAGUUGGUUUCUUGGGACGCGGCAUGCGCAUUGAAGCAGCGGUGACGCCCGAGAGGUCGCUUCCGUCUGCGCCGCCUUCCCGUCCUUCAAAUCGUGGAAUCAAUGUCGAUCGUUGCAUGCUCUGGGCGGCACAACAAGCGGCGUGAAGCGUGGGAUGAAAAUCGCGGGACGGGCGGAUGGAGUUUUUUGGUGGGCCACCACGGUCAGAGGCGGGCUUGGGAUCGGUUCAGAUUCCUGCAAAUCUUUCCCACGUUUGUUGUCGGUUUGCGAAAGAAAUCGCGUCCGGACCGUUCCACGGACCGAUACAGAUCGGCGUUGGAUGACUUCCGUCGUCUGGAUAACACAGUCCGAACAGUUACGGGAAGUUUACGGGUUCACCUUGAAGAUAUCCUAACUUCAUCUGUCGAAAAAAAGGGAAUUAGGUUCAGACACGUCGACAUUCGUCUUAUCUACUCACAAUUUCAUGGCUUAUCCUGCAAUGCAUGUACAAAUAGUUGACCCUUGCGCGAGGAAGCACCUUGCACCAGUGCCACUAUUUUAACUUAGUAGAUGCGGAUAAGAGGCCAUGAGAUCAAAUUCCACAGCGAGUCCACACUCUUUUCUCCAGAGAAAUCCUCUUGACCAACAAAUCAACCAGCUGCCCCGCCCCAGAGCCGCUUUGCAAAAAAGCACGGGAUCACGUAGUAUGGAGGCGCAGGCGCACACACAUGGGGCGUGUCCCCCCGGACAGCGCGCCGGCGAAGAAAAGCUCUGGACCAUGCGCAAAAGCUACGCUGGUGGUUUUUUCAUCCCUUUCACAUGUAGCGUCCGGAUUGGCAGGCACGCCCGGGCCAUCACGCGGUCCUCCGUCCAAAGGCAGCGGCGCAAAGAUCCGGGACGGGAUCUCCUCUGGCCAGCCAGCUUUCGGGUUUUAAGGUAGCGUUUGCCUUUUUUUCCUGGUUCUCGUCGUCGCCCCCAUCAGAUCAGCCUCAAGCUUUUGCUGGCUGCGUUGCCUGCUGCCUGCCCGCCUUUGUCCCCAGCCCCUCGACGGGCAUAUGCUUGCUCGUCGGGGUGAUAAGAUCGAUCGCGAGGGGUGAGCUCGGGACGGAAAAAGACCGAUCCAUGGAUUGGACAGGCGUAUCAUGGUGGUGGAUCGUCGCGUUGGGUGGGCGUGACGUCCGCGCGCGCGAGGAAGAAGCGCGGAUGCUCGCGCGCUGGAGCUAGGCGCGCGCCGGCCGGGCUCUUUCGCUCCGCGUGUCGCCGGCCGACGUGUGGCCGUCUACGCCGAACGCUUGUUCCAAUGGAGGCCAGGCCAGCGUGCGUCGUGGAAGCAUGAAUGAGUGUUGAGCCGUUGGAUUUAUUGUGCAGCGGUCCGUUGGAUUUAUUGUACCUGGGCAUUAUCGGAAGCAGAUAUCACUGAUCAUAUGACAGAAAACAUUCAGCCAAGUGCUAAGAAUUGGAUGUUUGAUCUAUAUGAGAUCCUAAGUCAUGAUAGCUUCACAAGGAUGGCUGUGACAUUAUGGGCAAUAUGGUAUGCGAGGCGAAAGGCAAUCCAUGAGAAUAUUUUUCAGAGCCCGCAACACACAAAUUCCUUUGUCAAUUCUUUUCUUCAGGAGCUAAAAAUGUUACCCAGGACAGAGAAGCAGUACAAGACCACUACGGUGCCUUCAGCAGCGCCAAAACGAUGGUUGCCACCGGCUAUAGGGAUCGCGAAGAUCAACGUGGAUGGUGCAGUGCUUCGCUACGGGCGCGGAGGCGUGGCAGCAGCCAUUUGCCACGACCACAGCGGCGCUUAUUUAGGCUCUUCGGUGGUUGUUUUUCAAGGCAUGACAGACCCAACGAUUCUUGAAACAUAUGCUUGCAGGGAAGCGACGGCGUUGGCAGAGGACCUCAAUCUUCAGGACCUAUGUGUUGCAAGCGAUUGCCAAGGGGUCGUGAAGGACAUCCUCAUGGGAACUAGUGGAGCACAUGCAGCCAUUGUACAUGAAAUAAUAGAACGCAAGGGUAGUUUUCGUACUUGCAGUUUUGUUUUUGAACAUAGGAACUUCAACUUUGAAGCCCACAAUCUCGCCAAGUAUGCUUGUAAUUUAUCUUUAGGUCGACAUGUUUGGCUGGGCAUGCCCCAUGAUCCAAACCUUGUACCGAUGAACAUUCUUCUGAAUCAAUAAAGUUUGGCGAGAUUUCUCAAAAAAAAAGGUCCGUGGAGACGAGAUGUUAGCUUUUUUUUAAAGAACACCGCGAUUUAUAUUUCAUUCAUUCAGGUUUAUAGGGAUACAAAGGUGACCCCGAGGACCAUUAAACCACACAAGGCGACCAAUACAUAGUGUAGUGGACGAUCUAGCUAGUCUUGUAUGCCUCAAGAUUGCUUGCGCGGGGCUCGUGAACAAACUCGUAACUCUGCAAUCCCGUCUUUCUAUCGUCAAUCUCUUUUAAGGAUCAUGCGGUACUCAGUAUUCACCAAGGUGUCCUUGCUCUUCAGAUCGUUAAUAACUCUCAGACAAUCAGAUGCAAUACGUGCUUUAGAGAUGACUAAAUCCUCCGCAAGAGCAAGUGUUGCUCUCCAUGUGCAUGCCUCGAAGGUAGCAGGCUCUGUCACACAUUGGAAAACAACCCUGGACGCUCCCAAGAAAAGGCCACGGUCUUUCGACCGAACACCCCAACGGCGCCAGUGUUUGAUGAUUUAGCAAACGCUGCAUAAACAUUCAUUUUCACCUUCCCCAAGCUAGGCGGUAGCCAUGCUGCGCCUCGCGGGCUUGGUGCCACACAUGAUGUGCGUCUGCCAUGCCGCUUGGGUAGUUCCUGCAACUCCCGCAAGUACCACUCAAUGAACAAGCGUGUCGACAAUGGACUCUGGAACUCAUGUUCGUGGAUAGCCUUCCUUCUCGCCCACCAGAUCACCCAUAAUAUAGCUAGAACUAAGACAAAAUUAUCCUUUACCAAUGUGUUACACAGAUUGAAAAGCCAAAGCUUAGGGUCUGUCUCGUCGCCAUAGACUGGUAACAAUGCAUCGUCAUCUCGGAAGGGAGCACGCACUUUUGGCCAUGUUACAAUCGAGCAAUGCAUGCCUCCAUGAGUUCAAGGCUGCCAAACAAAUCGGACAAGUAGCAUCCUCUGUCAUGUGCCUCCUCACACGCUCUUGGCCUGUCGGGAGGGACACCCGAGCCUAUCUCCAAGCAAAGACAUGAAGUUUGGCAGGCACUUGCACCCCCCACAACUUCUUCCGGCUCUUUUCUUGUUGUACUGUAUCUGAGUUUUCAAUCUGUCCACUUAACCAAGCUUCACAUAUGCGCUUCGUCUCUACCACCAUCGUGUAGCAAGACCGAACAGAAAAAGGCCCGACUUCUCAUACUCUCGUGCAUAGAAGUCCGGUUGCAUUUUGUAACUAAUGGGAAAUUUAUGCCUAUGGAACCGUUGUCUGGAAUUUUAUUGGGCCCUAAUUUCUAGGGAACAUCUAGUUCGAGCGAAAGAAAUCAUUCGCAAGGUGUAAUCCCUCCAAGCGAAUUCUUCCUACUUGUACGUAUUUGAGCCUCAAUUGGACCAAAAUAGAUUUUCAAUCGGAUAUUUUGGCUGCAUGGCUCAUCAAAAUAAAAAAAAACUAAGUCUACAAUUAGACUACUAAAAAUUAAUAAAAUAUGGAAAAUUGAACGAUUAAAUUACUGCCCAUGAAUAUUUAACUCACUGAUUAAUUUCUUAUACAUACCAUUUUUUUGCCAAAUAAGCCAAACAUUGCAUUUUCCCAAAAGUCUGAUCUAUUUGGGCGAAUGAUGCAUAAUUACUUUCAAACUUUUUUGCAUGGUUCAAAUGAAAAAUCUUUCUCAAUGAUUCUUAUUCUACCAAUGGCCCAAAAAAGCCCAUUCAUAUAUAUAACACACACAACUAACUAAGAAGAUUUGUCUAAAAACAGAUAACUAAAAACAAAAGAAAUAUAUAAAAAAUGCUAGUUGCCUUGUGAACAACAAACACUAUUUAACAAAAAAAUAUCAUAAAAUCAUACAUGGAAAAUUUGCAUUUUAACUAAACAAAUGCAUACAUAAAAUUUACAUGGUAUGCUAAAAACAUUUAAAACACAAGAAAAUAUAUUUAGUUACCAUGGCAAACAAGUUUUUUUGUUUUUCUAUGAGAAAUUAUUCAAAUUUGAAAAUGUUAAAAACAAAAAGGAAAUUGCCACGGUUGAGACAAUAAAAUUUCCAUGACAAUAAUAAUAAAAUGCAAUGUUGUGUAUUUUCUUUAUCAAAACAAAAAAUCACAGGAAGAAAAAUGCCAUGAUUCAAUAAGUAAAAAUGCCAUGCCAUUAAAAUGUAUAGAUAAAAAUUGGCAUGCCCUUAGUUAUAAAAAUGCCAUGCUGUUAAUAAUAAAAUAUGAUUCAAAAAUUAAAAUUGCCAUAUUGUGUAUUUUCUUUGUCAAAACUAAAAUACACACAAAAGAGAUUCCCGUGAUUCAAAAUUAAAAUUGUUAUGCCAUUAAAAAUAAAUUUAUCAUCCUACGAUAAAAAAAAUGUCAUGCUCUUAAUAAUAAAAUUGGGGUACUAUUAAUAAUAAAAAUGUAAAGCUCUUAAUAAAAAAGUGUGGUGUUGUUGUUACAAAAAUGCCAUGACAAUUUACAAAAAAAUUGCCAUGGUUUUUAGAACACUUUCUCUUAUUUUUGUCGUGGACUAUAACUUACAUUUGAAACAUGACAAAACUUCAGCAAAAAACUAUCUAUAAAUAUGGCAAAACAAUAUAAAAAGUGAGAGCAGCAAUAUGGCUCAUACCGGCAUAUACUCCCAUUAUCUGGACCAGACGUCCCGCACGAUCGACCAGCUGACGCUGCAUUAAUUGGCGCUGGCGCGAGCGCUAGAAAAUCACCGUAUUGCGCUAGACCGUAUGGGAUGGAACGACCCGACGAAUACUGCUGAGUGCGAUACGAGCGGUGGCCCCCACAAAUGACGGCGAAAGUAACAACGGGACCGUGGGAACAGUAGUUGCCUCGUACUUGGACGGGUGGUACAGAAUUUUUCCGGUCAGCUCAUUCAUUGCAGGAACCGCGUGGCUAUCUCAUGGGUCGGUGUUGUCCAUGGCGACGGCGGCGGCACCGGCGAUAAUGGCGGUCAACGGUGGUCAGGUACGCGGCGGCUCCACUGCUCCAUUCCCAUUCCCCACUGCCCCCCUGCCGCAAAAUCUUUGUGGCCGGUGUGUUCUGAUCUGCGGUGGCCUGCUUGCCUAUCUUCCAAGAUGUGAUACGCGCCUUGCCGCCGGAUCUCGAUGGAGGGGGCGAGGUGGGUAGCCAGACGGGACGAGGUGGCACCGGAGUCUUCUGUGGCGGCGCUCGUUCAGGGUUGUCAAGAUGGUGGAGCGAUGCGGUAGACGAACAGAAUGUGCCUGCGGAAUUGGGUGAAUCGACUGUGAUGCCGGAUCCAUGAGCGCCACGGCGGAUUAAGAGGUAUUGAAUCCUGCUUGUUGUGUGCUAUUAUUUCUGUGUGGAUUACUCGUGCGUGCUGCUACUAAAAAGAAAACUGAAGAAUGGAAACAGAUGUGUAGAGCGUCGUAUCCGUGAUGAAACAGAGGGGAAAGGAAAACUAAGUUAGCUCAUAGAAUGUUUGUGCACAGGGUGGUGGGCUUGUCCAGUUAAAAAAAAUAGGGCAAACGUUAGCUCCGCAUAAUCAAAGAGUACAUAAAUCUUACCAGUGCUAAAAAUAGUUGCAUGUUGUUCUUUCACAUGCUGAGCCGAAUAUGUAACUGGCAAAACUUAAGUCGCGGGUUUUCCUUUGCUUUUUAGUUUUGGUUGAGACCUUGAAUCUGACUGUUUGAUCAGGCGGUGAAUGGUUUGUAUUGGUUUCGUUUUCUAUAUGAAAAUGGAGCUGGGUACUCCCUUUGAUCAGAAAAAUAUUGCGCAAAAUGACCACAAUUGAGAAAAUUGUUCACUUUUCCUGCUCUGCCUCUGUUAUGAUUUUUGAGCUGAAUGCUUGUGACAUUCUUUUUGAUAGUCUCACAAUUGUCAUGUAUUUUAAAAUCCGGACUGUAGUUUUUGGGAUGCACAAUGGUGUUUUUUGUGCCGAAAAAAGGCGUGUUGUGUCUCAGGAAAUAGAAUGUUGGCUUUGUGCACACAAGCAGGGUCAGGAUGUGUACCAAUCCUACAGAGUGUGCACCAUGCACCAAUAGGAUGGGGGCUCUUGAGAAGUCAAUUAGAGGGUUUGCGGACAAGAGCGAUAAGGAAGUUGUGAAGCCAGGGUUAGGAACAAAUUUUGACUCGUUGACGGAGGUGUAUGACUUCUACAACCUAUAUUCCUGGGAACAUGGUUUUGAAAUCCGAUACGGGGAAAGCAGGCUGAACCCAGAGAAAAAGGAAGACCAUGCAGGAAAUUGUGUGUGCAGAUGCUCGGUACGUUGUAAUUUCUGUAUUGAUUUUGCAGCUGGUUUUAAGCUGAUGAAGUGUGCAUUAAUUAGCUGUGUCACUAAUGAUUGGUGGUAAAAUAUGGAACAGGGGAAGCUAUUGUGAGAGAAUACAAGGUCUUGCCGGUGUGAGUGUCCUAGGCUGCUCCAGACCACAGACAACGGAUGGUACAUAACAGAGCAUCGAGUGAAGCAUAAUUGCGUAAUGGCAAGAAGUUGCGGAGAGAUGGCGCACUGGCCAUCUCACAACCAUAUUGAUGGCGCACUGGCGAGUAUUUGUCAUACUCAAUGCUUUCCUCAAAAUAAUCACUUAAGAACAGAGGAUAGCUUUCCUGUUUGAUGCUAUCCCUUCUAUAAUGACAGAUUAUAUUGAUAAUUGCAAUGGUAUGCAAUGUAACUGCAGGAAAUCUUCUCAGGCAAAUACUGUAAUAGCCACCAAUGGUUUGAUGACAUUGCUUAUUGCAAGACUUGACCAUCGAAAAGUUAUUGCUUGUUUGACUCUGCUGAAACUAAUAAAGGUUUGGUUUUUAUUCUUUUCUCUCAUGGUUGAGUGAUUCUACUUGUCAAGUAACCAACAACGUUUUUAGAGUAAGCUUAGAAUUUUGGGUCACUCAUGAUAAAUUAAGCCGGGAAUUAGGUUAAUAAAAACUAAGGCGGGAAUUUUGGUUACUCUGUAUCAUUGAAGUGUUCCAUGUUGUCGUGUACAAUGUGAGACUUAAUAUGUGACUAUGCUACAAAAAUCCAGGUUGUCUGUGAGCAUCACCCUUGACCAAAGAAGCUCAUAGUGGACAACUACCUUCCCUAGAAGCUACAAAACCUCAUCGAAGAAUGCAGGGAUGGGCAACGCGGCGGUUAACAAGUGCUGGUCAAACAAAUGGCCACCCUGAUGUUGAUGCGUAAAAUAUAAGGCUGGUCGUAAUGAUAGUAUCAUAGUUAGUAUCAUGCAUGCCAACUAGGCAAUUUCGAUGAGGUGUCAUAUCAUUAAAUGAAGAAAGAGAUGGUGAAGUAUCAUAUCAUGAUAUCGUAUCAUAAUAAAUGCUAUGCUACUUUGUGUCAUGCAUGACAAUAAAUAAAGUACUACAUGAUACUAAAAUAUGAUACUAUGCAUUAGAGAGGUAGUAUCAUAUGCAUGAUACUAGUAUAUGAUACUCCCCAUUACAACCAGCCUAAGCGGACACAUGAACGAAGAGCAUUAGUUUGUCAAGAUGUAUGUGUUUUUUUAAACUCGAACAGAGAUGUUUGAAGGUGUUGCUACCUAAGUUCAGAUUGGAUACAAUGUGUUGUUGGGUUUUCAUCUGUUACACAUGCGGACAUGCCGGUCCGUGAAAAUCUGCAAACACCAAGACCGUAGAGGACUGAACUGGCUCCAACAUUAAUGCAUGGCAGUCGUGGGCCACAAGCACUGUACAAUACUAUAGCCAUCUGCAGCAAUACAUUACAAUAUACAACUCUUUGCUCAGAUCCCCAUGCAGACCAUCGGUCUAGAUAAUGGGAGCAUAUAGUAGUACGACCCAUAUCGAAUUUUCGAUAAAAAGUCACCAUCUUUUUAAAGAACACAAUUUUUUUAUGAAUUUGCAGGAGGUUCAAUAAUCAAAAACUAUUGCGAAACACAGAUUUGUUAUCUUGCUGCAUCAUACCAGGUUAUGAUAACAAACACACAUUGCAUCACACAGCAUUUGCAAAAUCUAGUGAAAAAUGCCUCUAAGCAUCAAAAAAAUUGGGGGACUCUAUGCAUCAAAUUAGUCAUGGUAGUUAAUGUAGUUGAUUCGGACAAAAGGGGACAAAUAGGUGUAAAAAUUAUGCACGGACAGGAGAUUUGUAACAUCCCUGUAAUUAAGUUACAACGAUUGCUGUCUAAUGAUGCCACAUCACCUCCAUUUGCUAAGCUUAAUUGUCAUUUAGUUGAAAACCAAGUCAAAUUCAAAUGCAUGUCAAAUUGUUAGGUAUUCAAAUAGUAAAAUAAAAAUGUAUGUUGGGUUGAAAAUAUUCACUAACUAAUUGUCAUGAAUAAGCCAACAUGUUUUGAAUAAUUAAAUGCCCUUAAACUAUUUAAAAUUGGACCAGCAACAUUUAAUUGGUCCAUUUAAAUUUAAACAAAUACCUAAACUAUUCAAAUUAAAUUGAAACUUUGUGUGCUACUUCAAAACCCUGCCUAGUAUUUAUGGGCUAAGUUUUAUAUUCAACUAAAUCUAUUUAGUAUAAAAAUAAAAUGCAAAGCGGAAAAGAAAUAAAGAAUACAAAAAAGAAAAAAAAAGGCAAAAGAACAGGACACAUUGUUGGACUGGGCUCUACAUACGCCCAGUGUGGCCCAACCCAAUAGUGGCGCCCUUUCGUCAACUUCCCAACGCGAACCAAUAUUGUUCCUAUAGGUGCGGAGAAGGAAAAAAAUGCUAAGCGGCCGCCUCCACAUGUUGCGUCGAUGUCGUGAUAGACACCGAGAUUAGCUAGCUUAACCGCUGAUUAGGAAGGAUAUAAAUCCUAGCGUCCACCUCUAGCGCCUUUGCAUUGUAAAUGCCCAAGGGCGCGAGCAUCGACCCCUUGGAUAGGCCAAGAUCUUUUCCACCCCUCCCUACACGCUACUGCUUCCUCCUCCACCAUGGCUGCUAUUGCCGUCACCUCCGCUCACUCGCCUGCGUAGCCACAACGAUCCCCAUGCCUCGCCACCGUGUCUACUAGCCUCGCCGCCAUCCGCCUCGUCUUCUGGUGCAUCUCGUCGGAGUUUGGAUCCCCUGCAUCGACCGUACCAACCUCGUCUUCCUCCUCGGCCACCACAGAUUGCCGCCGCCAGUUCGUCGUCAUGGAGCCUUCCCGUGCCCGCUUAGCCCAUCUGCAAGAUCCCUGUGAGCCCCUUUAUUUCCCCUCACUCCGCGCGCUCGAUUGCGAGCUCUAGCACCUGAUCCACCGUCGACCGAAAUGCUCCGCUGCAUGCGUUCGUCUCCGGCGAUGCUCUGGUGGACCAUUGGUCCUGUGUGUGUGCGUCCAGCCACAUAUUUAGCUCGCAUAGGUGCCGCAGAUGCCACACGCCAGUCGAUUUUCUCGUUUCUAUGCUGGUUCCGUCGUUAUCCGAUUCCGACGGCCACUGCAGCUCAUUGCCGCCAAUGAUUCUGGCGCUUCUAGCUCGCGCCACUGCCACCGUUCAAUGCACGACCCUACCCGUGUUCGAACAUGCCUAGCCGUGCCCCGUACGAAUUUUCCAACGACUGCUCGAGGCCCUCCGCCGCGAAUUGGGGUCGCCUGCGUUUAAACGCCGGUGGUACAAGGUGGCACAGCUGCUGGGCCCUUCUUGGGUCGCUGACCCUAGGUCCCACUGCCCAGUUGACUGAUCAACCGGUCAACGCUGACCCGCUGACUCAGCCCCCCUGGCCCACAAGUCAGCCUCUGCUGACUCGGUAUGCCCACUGUCAAUCUCACAACGCACUGCUGGGUGCACUUCACUUGGUGCACUUAGCAUCUACAUUUAAUAUAAUUUUGAAUUUAAUUAAAUCCAGUAAAUCCAUAAAUUCAAUUAAAUUUGAAAAAUCAUAUAAAAAUCGUAAGUCAGAUGCAAAUAAUUUAUAUAUGAAAGAUGAUCAGAAAAAUAUAACGAAUCCGAAUAUGACAUCCGCAUACCUGCCAUACCCCUCUUAGAUAAUGAACAUCGACAUUUUCCCCCUGGAUCAAUAUAUGGAAAAAUACCUUGAGCUGGAAAAAUAUUACCAGAUAUUUUCCAUCUUCUUUUAAAAUGCUUAGUAUUGCAUUAGGUCACAUCAACACCACAUUUUGCCAUGUCAUUGUGUUGCAUUUGUAUGUCUGUUAAUUGUAUGUUUCCCCCUCUCCUCUAUUCUUUUGGUAGACUCCAAGACCGUCGUUGCCCCCGAGUACGACUACAUUGACGAAGACCGUUUCAUCUCGGCAGAGCUUCCAGGCAAGCAAAACACCCUUGAUCAUUCUGAUAUUGCCUAUUCCCCUCUCUCUAUUGCUUGCAUUGGAGUAGUGUUACUGUUACUGCUUUAUCGGUAGAUCCUAUACUGUUGCAUAACCUGUUUUUGUUAACUGCUGUUGAUACCAUCCUGUUAUCCUAUAUGCUUAGUAUAGGCUUGCUAUCAUCCCAUUAGUGGCCGUACAUCCUUGUCUGUGUCGCCAUGCCAUUGUAUCUGGGUUAUCCGAGAUUGGAUCAUUGUAGCAAGACCCGAACACCCCUAAAGGCCCUUACAAUUGUACGGCUCUGCAGAGCCACACCAAGUGUGAUCUACCGAGGGUGAUUCCAUGUAUUUCACUCUCGAUGGCUGACUCUAUAGUGUAGCACACCUAGUGUGACCUACUGAGGGUGAUUCCUCAUAUUUCACUCUCAAUGAUGUCUCUGUCGUGCAGUAUAUCACGUGUGAACCUAUCGAGGGUGAUUCCUCGGUUUCACCUUGAUGGUAUGGACCUAAGUCCCGACAGCACCAAAUGUUAAAGACGGGUCGGCCCCAAGGGUACCCGCGAGUGAUUCUUUGUGGUGGAACGACAUGACAGGUGGAGACCAUCUAGGAGAAAGAUGGGUCUGUUGGCAACUUUACUAAGUACAAUCGACAGUCCGGUCCUUUAAACUCGAACAAAUGGGGUAGUUCAAAGUAAUAUGGGGGUAAUAUUAGGCAUCUCCAACGUCGACCUUCAAACUGCCCAUAUACAUUCAGACCGCGCUGUCUGAACGCGAAAGCCAUCCAACGUGGGUGGUGUAUCGGUCCGUAGGGCGAUCUGUACGUACUUUCUCUUGUAAACCGGAGACAAAUGUGUAUGUGUGUGGGGGGGGAGGCUUUGCGAGCGUCUGGACAGCACCCACACCCGCUUCUGACCAAAGUGGCCCACCCAAACCCCCUCAUCCCUCGCCACGCGCGCUCCUACCCCGCCGCUAGCUGCCCACAUUCAUGCUGUUGUAAAGCGCGUCGUUCCACAUUGGAGACGGCUCAGGGCGAACGUGACCUCUCACCGCCUCCACCAUUGAAGCAGUGUGUCGGUCGAGGGCGCCACCCGCGACGCGUCUCCGGUGUCCACGUAUGUUCAAUGCCGGAGACGCGUUACUGGACGGGACGAGAUGGAUAUCUACCACACCCUUGAAUGACCCAUACGUCUGUAUGCCGACGUUAAGCAGGUUCGCCAGCCAAGAAACCCACUCAGGCGCCGCGCAUUGAUGCACCCGGAUGCAUGGCCUCAUCGGAAUCCGCUAUUUAAAGGCGGCCACACCCGACUAACUCCACGCCACAAUACAAGCCGCUCCCCAUCCUCCUUCCUUGCACUGCAUCCGCCAUGACUGCAGGCGGUGAAGCUCUGUGGGAGAGACUUUCCACAAAGAUGAAGCACGAGGUGGCCGCCUUUGUCGUCGCCUGACAGAGCCAGUGUCGGGGGUUGGGUGCGACAUAUGCCAAUGAAUGGCUUAUCAUGGUGGGGGCGAGUAGAACGUCGCCGGUGCCUGGAAACGGGAUGAGGCGUAGACACGAACGCCGGCGUACUUUACCCAGGUUCGGGGCUCUCCUAGGAGAUAAUACCCCUAGUCCUGCUCUGCGGGGUUUCCGCAUGAUCACUGAGGGAGUCCUGGAUUAGGGAGUGUCCGAAUGGCCGGACUAUACCUUCAGCCGGACUCCUGGACUAUGAAGAUACAAGAUUGAAGACUUUGUCCCGUGUUCGGAAGGGACUUUCCUUGGCGUGGAAGGCAAGCUUGGCGAUAUGGAUAUGUAGAUCUCCUACCAUUGUAACUGACUUUGUGUAACCCUAACCCUCUCCGGUGUCUAUAUAAACCGGAGGGUUUUAGUCCGUAGGACAACAUACAGAACAACAAUCAUACCAUAGGAUAGCUUCUAGGGUUUAGCCUCUCCGAUCUCGUGGUAGAUCUACUCUUGUACUACCCAUAUCAUCAAUAUUAAUCAAGCAGGACGUAGGGUUUUACCUCCAUCAAGAGGGCCUGAACCCGGGUAAAACUUCGUGUCCCUUGCCUCCUGUUACCAUCCGGCCUAGACGCACAGUUCAAGACCCCCUACCCAAGAUCCGCCGGUUUUGACACCGACAUUGGUGCUUUCAUUGAGAGUUCCUCUGUGUCGUCGCCGUUAUGCUUGAUGGCUCCUACGAUCAUCAAUAGCGAUGCAGUCCAGGGUGAGACCUUCCUCCCCGGGCAGAUCUUCGUCUUCGGCCGCACUGCGGGCCAAUUCACUUGGCCAUCUGGAGCAGAUCGAAAGCUAUGCCCCUGGCCGUCAGGUCAGAUUUGGAAGUUUAAACUACACGGCUGACAUCCGCGGGGACUUGAUCUUCGACGGAUUCGAGCCACUGCCGAGCGCGCCGCACUGUCACGACGAGCAUGAUCUAGCUCUGCCGCCGAACAGUGCCCUGGAGGCCGCACUCGCAUCGGCUUCGACCCUUAAUUCGGAGCCAACUGCGAUCAAGGAUGGGUGGUUGGACGCCGCCUCGGGGGCUGCGAUCCCAAUGGCGAUCGAGCCGAACACCAGCCCCGCACUCCGCGAGACUCGUGACUCCAAGGAGCCGGACUCCUCUCCGGACUCUGAACCCUCCGCGCCCCUGCCGAUCGAAUCCGAUUGGGCGCCGAUCAUGGAGUUUACUGUCGCGGACAUCUUUCAGCACUCGCCUUUCGGUGAUACCUUGAAGACACUAAAGUCUCUCUCUUUAUCAGGAGAGCCCUGGCCGGACUAUGAUCAGCAAGGUUGGGAUACGGACGAUGAAGAAAUUCAAAGCCCACCCACCACCCACUUUGUAGCCACUGUCGACGAUUUAACCGACAUGCUCGACUUCGACUCCGAAGACAUCGACGGUAUGGACGCCGAUGCAGGAGAUGAUGAAGAACCAGCGCCUAUUGGGCCCUGGAAAGCCACCUCGUCAUAUGACAUAUACAUGGUGGACACCCCAAAAGAAGGAGAUGGCGAUGGAACAGCGGAGGAUGACCCCUCCAAGAAACAGCCUAAGCGCCGGCGUCAGCGGCGCCGCUCAAAAUCCCGCCAAAGCAAAUACGGUGAUUCCAGCACAGGAGAUAAUAAUACUCCGGAGAGUAUCGAAGAAAACCCCUCCAGCAAGAUUCAGCACAGGAGGAUGGAGAAGCCAGCCCUCAUGAGAGAGCGGCAGACAGAGAGGUCGGGGACGAUAAUUAUAUGCCUCCCUCCGAAGACGAGGCAAGCCUCGACGACGACGAAUUCAUCAUGCCAGAGGAUCCCGUCGAGCAAGAGCGUUUUCAACGCAGGCUUAUGGCCACGGCAAGAAGCCUCAAGAAAAAACAGCAACAACUUAGAGCUGAUCAAGAUUUGCUAGUCGACAGAUGGACCGAAGUCCUUGCGGCCGAAGAGCAUAAACUCGAACGCCCCUCCAAGAGCUACCCAAAGCGCAGGUUGCUACCCCGAUUAGAGGAGGAAGCACUUAAACCUACAUCACCAGCACUUGAUACGGCCGACCGGCCACCUCGUGGCCGCGACAGAGAGGCCUCUCGGCCCUCCACUCAAGCCGCACCCCAUACCAAGGCACGGGAAAAUGCGCCAGACCUGCGAGAUAUGUUGGAGGACAAGGCAAGGCAAACAAGAUCGAUCUACGGAUCGCGUGGGCGCCCCACGACUCGAGACGGUAACCAUCACGUCGGACACAAAUCCGGUAGGGCCAAACACAGUAGACAAAGCUCAUUGGAUCUACAUCGUGAUAUAGCCCAGUACAGAGGCGCCGCACACCCACUAUGCUUCACAGACGAAGUAACGGAUCAUCAAAUCCCCGAGGGUUUCAAACCCGUAAACAUCGAAUCAUAUGAUGGCACAACAGAUCCUGCGGUAUGGAUCGAGGAUUAUCUCCUUCAUAUCCACAUGGCCCGCGGUGAUGAUCUCCACGCCAUCAAAUACCUCCCACUCAAGCUUAAAGGGCCAGCUCGGCAUUGGCUUAACAGCUUGCCAGCAGGAUCAAUCAGUUGUUGGGAGGACCUGGAAGCCGCAUUCCUCGACAAUUUCCAGGGCACUUAUGUGCGACCACCAGACGCCGAUGACCUAAGCCACAUAAUUCAGCAGCCAGAGGAAUCGGCCAGGCAAUUCUGGACAAGGUUCCUAACAAAGAAAAAUCAAAUAGUCGACUGUCCGGACACAGAGGCCCUAGCAGCCUUCAAGCACAAUAUCCGUGAUGAGUGGCUUGCCCGGCACCUUGGACAGGAAAAGCCGAAAUCUAUGGCAGCACUCACGACACUCAUGACCCACUUUUGCACGGGAGAAGACAGCUGGCUUGCUCAUAGCAACAAUAUGACCAAGAACCCUGGUAAUUCGGAUACCAAGGACAGUAGUGGCAGGUUGCAUCGCAACAAGCAGAAGCGCCGCAUUAACGGCGACAAUGCUGAGGAUACGGCAGUUAAUGCCGGAUUCAGAGGCUAUAAAUCUGGUCAGCGGAAAAAGCCAUUCGAAAGAAAUCAUAGGGGCCCGUCCAGUUUGGACCGAAUACUCGACCGCUUGUGCCAGAUACAUGGCACCCCCGAAAAGCCGGCCAAUCACACCAACGGGGAUUGUUGGGUGUUCAAGCAGGCAGGCAAGUUAAAUGCUGAAAAUACCGACAAGGGGCUGCAUAGCGAUGAUGACGAAGAGCCCCAGCCGCCGAACAACAGUGGACAGAAGGGUUUUCCCCCACAAGUGCGGACGGUGAACAUGAUAUACGCAACCCACAUCCCCAAAAGGGAGCGGAAGCGCGCGUUAAGGGACGUAUACGCGGUAGAGCCAGUCGCCCCAAAGUUCAACCCAUGGUCCUCCUGCCCGAUCACCUUUGAUCGAAGGGACCAUCCCACUAGCCCCGUCAUGGUGGAUUCGCCAUAUUGGUUCUAGACCCAAUUAUUGACGGAUUUCAUCUCAUUAUGGACGGCGGCAGCAGCUUGAACCUGCUUACCAGGAUAUAGUGCGGAAAAUGGGCAUAGAUCCCUCGAGGAUUAAGCCCACCAAAACGACCUUCAAAGGCGUAAUACCAGGUGUAGAGGCCAACUGUACAGGCUCAGUCACACUUGAAGUGGUCUUCGGAUCUCCGGAUAAUUUCUGAAGCGAGGAGUUAAUCUUCGACAUGGUCCCAUUCCGCAGUGGCUAUCACGCACUGCUCGGGCGAACCGCAUUCGCCAAGUUCAACGCGGUACCUCACUACGCAUACCUUAAGCUCAAGAUGCUAGGCCCUCGAGGAGUAAUUACGGUCAAUGGAAACACCGAACGCUCCCUUCGAACGGAGGAGCACACGGCGGCCCUUGCAGCGGAAGUACAAAGCAGCCUCUCCAGGCAGUUCUCCAGUCGGGCCAUUAAACGUCCGGACACCGUCAAGCGCGCCCGGAGUAACCUACAACAAGACCGCCUGACACGUUCCGAGCAGGCGUAGCAAUGCGGCCCCAACCCCAGCCCUCGCAAAAAUGUGACGCCGGUGCUUCGCGUACAUAACUACGCUCUAGAAAUACCAUGGGUACAGGGGGAGGGGCACCAUCACGGCACACCCGAAACACGGCUUAAACCGCACCAGGGGCUGACGAUUUUUUAAUUUUCUCUUACUUUCAGGACUCCAUUCUUCGGAAGGCCUGUUCGGCAGUUCAAUUGCCGCACAAACGAUGCAAGAACCAGGGAAGCAGACAAACCAUGCCGCAUUACGGAACUUCCAGGUGGUCUCUAUGACGAGCAGUAUACCUGUUUCGCAUACCAUUCCGUAGCCUGCCCCUAGAACGGACAUGUUAAAUAGUCCAACCUUUUGCUUAUCGCAUUAUUCGUAUCGUUCUGCUUUGAUCGCAGCCCUUUUUAAUAAACAAUGCAUAGCUUUUGUCUAUUUUUGCAUUACUCUCUUUUUUACAAAUAUAUGUUCCUUAACGACAUGUUGCACCCGUACACUUUGGUACGGCCAAAAUACGCCAGGGGCUUUAGUACCCCUCAAUAUGGUGUGAGAAGUCCGAACACUUUAACAAGUGCGGCACUCCGAACUUAUAGCAUUAUAUGCAUCGGCUCCGAAUCAUGUCUUGGGUCAAUAAUUGGGUUUGCCCGGCUCCUAUGUUUUGGUGCCUUACGUUCCGCUAUGUCGGCUAAGGUAGCACUAGGAGAACUACUGCGAUUGUGCCCCAGUUGAGCUGGGUCGAGCACCUCAGUAGAGAAAGCUAAAACUGACUGUCAUGAUGAAGCGAGAGUUGGUCGCUGUUCGAGAGGUUCUUCGAGUCCCUAAAGACUUAUGCCGCUUAGAGUGAGGAGUCAGCUUUGUCCGGCCAAGGCGUGGAUAGCGCCCCGAACUCGGUCUUCCGAAUACCAGGGGCUUCGCCGAAAUUUAAAAUUAUAGAAUUCUAUGGCUAAGUGAGAGUGUUCACGCAUUAUAGUCUGAUUGCCUUGUUCUUUGUGCUGAGCGCCUCCCUCGAAGGACCCAAACAUGGGAAAAAGAGCGCUCAGGUUUAUCCCCGGACACCCCAGCACUAGCGGCACGGGGGCAGAAGCCGACGACUCGCCAUCUCUCAGAAUUGAUAAACAGCCGCACAAAAGGUAAUAUUUUAAAUUCCAACAGCAUUGCUUAGCGCAUAUGAACAAGUUUUCAACGCACAGGACAAAACGAGCGAGUUUUACUCAAAAAUUACAUCCCUGGAACAUUCAUCCGCCAUAAGGCAGGCACCCUUCAGAACAUCCUUAUAAUAAUUCUCGGGCUUGCGAUGCUCUUUCCCCGGCGGUGGCCCAUCCUUCACAAGCUUCUCAGCAUCCAGCUUGCCCCAGUGCACCUUAGCACGGGCAAGGGCCCUACGGGCACCUUCAAUGCAGAUGGAGCGCUUGAUGACUUCGAGCCUUGGACAGGCCCCCACCAGCCGCCGCACCAGCCCGAAAUAGCUCCCAGGCAGAGCCUCUCCAGGCAACAGCCAAACUAUGAGGCCUUUCAUGGCCUGUUCGGCCACCUUGUGGUCGCUCAGGGGCACGGGGUGUCCGACCUCAGCAUACUUAGACCAGAACACCUUCUCUAUCGAGCUGCCCUCCUCAGCUCGAUAGAAUGCGGCAGCAUCGGACACGCUACGGGGAAGAUCUGCGAAUGCCCCUGAAGAGCUCCGGAUUCGGGUAAGUAACAAGUAACUCACGUUUAUGUGUUUGCUUUGCAUAAAGAAUGCCUUACCCGCCGCUAUCUUUUUCACCGCAUCCAACUCCUGGAGGGUCUUCUGGGAUUCGGCCUUGGCAGACUUGGCAUUUUUAAUAGCCACUGCGAGCUCGGACGCUCGCGUCUUCGAGUCAAGCUCCAAACUCUCAUGUUUUUUCAUGAGAGCCUGGAGCUCUUGCCGCACCUUGCCAACCUGGGCCUCAUACUUAUCCCGCUCGGUGCGCUCCGUGGCCGCCCUCUUCUCGGCCUCGAGCAGCGCUUGCUUAAGGGUCGCCACCUCAGACGUGGCCCCUACAAUAGCCACGACAAUCCUGUCAUUUUUUGCAAUUGCACCUUUUAUAUAUAUAUAUUUAAACAAGGUAUUUCUUACCUUCCUUGUCCUCGAGCUGCUUCUUGGCACGCCCGAGCUCUUGCUCGGACUGCUCGAGGUUCUGCUUUAGCGUGUACACUUUCGCAGUCAGUGCGGCGGACGCCAGCAGAGAAGCCUGCAUACGCAUAUUGACUCCUUUUUUAGACUCCUGCGAAUUUUAUUUGAUCCUCCAUUCGGCUUUUCUUCCCGAACGCCAAACAGAGCAUCAGGGGCUACUGUCUAUGCGGUAAUAUUAUUUACACAUUCUUUACUUACCUCAAAGCCUGUUAAAAGGCUAGCACAAGCUUCAGUCAGUCCACUCUUGGCGGACUGAACCUUCUGGACCACCACACUCAUAAUGGUGCGGUGCUCCUCGUCGAUGGAGGCGCCUUUGAGCACCUCCUACAGAUUGUCUGGCGCCUCCGGUUGGACGGGGGUCACCGGCACGGUGGGCUUGCUCCUCUUGGAAGGAGGUCGCCCGCCGGACUCUGGAACCUUUGAAGGUUCUGGAGCGGUGUCCGGCCUAGAGCCGGACUUGGAGCCCUGGGGGUUUUUGUCCCCUUUACUCCUGGAGUCCGGGAGGUCGCCUUGCGGCGCCUCCAGGACCACCUCCUCCUGGCUUGGAACCUGUUGGGACAACACUUCGGCGUCGUCCGUAGGGCGGGGGGAGGUAGCCGUCGGAAGCGAAUUCACAUCCGACGAGUCCAGUGAACCGCUCGACGACGCGUCGAGCCAGUCUUUGGGUGGGCUGCAUAAUCAUAUUCGACAUAAGGGAAAGUUGUGCAAUAAAGGAAUACUAUGAAUUACUCUGGUAUCCGGAUACUUAUGAUUUCGCCAGGGGCUUGGCCCUGAGCGGCCACUCCUCUCCGCCGUCGUCGGUGUUGGUGGAGUAGUCCGGAGGAAGGAUUUUCCCCUUCUUGGACCCUUCGGCCUCCCCAGUGAGGGCGACCUUCCUUUUCUUCUCUCCCCCCGCUGGAGGGGGAGAGGUCUCUUCUUCCUCCUCCUCGUCUUCACGGGAGGAAUGCGCCUUGGAGCCGUCGGAUGAUGAACCCGACACCUCCUGGCGCCGGGCACUUUUUCGAGUCCCCGUGGCCUUCUUCGUGGCCUUCUUCUCCGGCACCACAUGGGGUGCCGGAACCAGCAGCUUCGCCAAGCGGGCAUCGGCUGGGUCUUCGGGCAAAGGAGCCGGACAUUCGAUCUGUCCGGACUUUGCCUGCCAAACCUAUCAAAGGUAAGGGAGCUUAGAUCCCGCAUAGAGUUAAACUAUGAAAAACUAAUACCAUGUAAAAGGUACAAACAACUUACCGCGCUAGCGUGACGCUAUGCGCUGAAUCCGCGAUCCUCGGUAGCGGAUGCGGGAGCCUCGGCGCCCUUGAAAAGCACCUUCCAGGCAUCUUCGUAUGUCGUGUCAAAGAGCCUGCUCAGAGUUCGGUGUUGCGCCGGGUUGAACUCCCACAGAUUGAAGGCCCGUUGUUGACACAGGAGGAUCCGGCGGAUGAGCAUAACCUCGACUACGUUGACAAGCUUGAGCUGCUUGUCCACCAGGGUUUGGAUGCAUGUUUGCAGUCCAGUCACCUCUCCUUUGUUGUCCCAUGACAGGCCCGUCUCUUUCCAGGACGUGAGCCGCGUUGGGGGUCCGGACAGGAACUCGGGGGGCUGCGACCCACUCAGGGUCGCGCGGCUCGGUGAUGUAAAACCACCCCGAUUGCCACCCCUUCAGGGUCUCCACAAAGGAGCCCUCGAGCCAUAAGGCGUUGGGCAUCUUGCCCACCAUGGCGCCUCCGCACUCCGCCUGGUUGCCGCGCACCACCUUCGGCUUGACAUUGAAAGUUUUGAGCCAUAGGCCAAAAUGGGGGCGGAUGCAGAGGAAAGCCUCGCACAUGAUGAUAAACGCUGAGAUGUUGAGGAUGAAGUUCGGGGCCAGAUUAUGGAAAUCCAGGCCGUAGUAGAACAUGAGCCCCCGGACGAAUGGGUGGAUAGGAAAGCCCAGUUCGCGGAGGAAGUGGGGAAGGAACACUACCCUCUCAUGGGGCCUUGGGGUGGGGAGGAGCUGCCCCUCUUCCGGAAGCCGGUACGUGAUGUCGUUAGACAAGUAUCCGGCCUUCCUCAGUUUUUUGAUGUGUCCCUCCAUGACGGAGGAGACCAUCCACUUGCCUCCCGCUCCGGACAUGGCUGGAGAAGGUUGAGGUGGGGAGUGCGGACUUGGGCGCUGGAGCUCGAGUGCGCGAAAAUGGAUAGGCAAAGGAGGAAGAAGGCAUAGGUGAAAAGGUGGAUCCUUAUCCCCUUAUAUGGGUGGACGCAACUACGUGUCCCCACCAGCCUGGUAAAACUCGCUUAUCUCCAAGCGCCAUAAUCAAUGGCGCGGUUGGGUUACCCACGCCCGUAUUGAUGAGAAUCCCGGAAUAAGGGGACACGAUCUCUGCUUUAACAAGACAUGCCAAGGAAACCGCCUCGCAUGACGCGCUGAGGUGGGAUAAUAAAACGAUUCGAAUAAAGGCUUGGCCGUGGUGCGUCACACUACGGAAUACGUCAGCAGAUUAGAUUUGUGUAAAUAUUAUUCUCUCUAUGGCAAUAUGUGGAAACUUAUUUUGCAGAGCCGGACACUAUCUUUGUGUUCAAAAUCUUCUAUGAAGUACUUGGAGGAGGAACCCGCCUUGUAAUGCCAAAGACAAUCUGCGCGCCGGACUCGUCGUCAUUGAAGCCUGGUUCAGGGGCUACUGAGGGACUCCUGGAUUAGGGGGUGUCCGGAUGGCCGGACUAUACCUUCAGCCGGACUCCUGGACUAUGAAGUUACAAGAUUGAAGACUUCGUCCCAUGUCCGGAAGGGACUUUCCUUGGCGUGGAAGGCAAGCUUGGCGAUAUGGACAUGUAGAUCUCCUACCAUUGUAACCGACUUUGUGUAACCCUAACCCUCUCCGGUGUCUAUAUAAACCGGAGGGUUUUAGUCCGUAGGACAACAUACAGAACAACAAUCAUACCAUAGGCUAGCUUCUAGGGUUUAGCCUCUUCGAUCUCGUGGUAGAUCUACUCUUGUACUACCCAUAUCAUCAAUAUUAAUCAAGCAGGACGUAGGGUUUUACCUCCAUCAAGAGGGCCCGAACCUGGGUAAAACUUCGUGUCCCUUGCCUCCUGUUACCAUCCGGCCUAGACGCACAGUUCGGGACCCCCUACCCGAGAUCCGCUGGUUUUGACACCGACAAUCACUAAGGCAAAGUGAAUACAAGGGCGCUCCUCGAGCUGUAUGCUGAAGGUAGGAGAAGGCAGGGUCAGCUCUUCCCCCCCCCCCUCUGUGAUCUGGUCUAGUUCUAAUGGAUCGGAACCCUUUGCAUGGGUGCCCUAGGGGGUUUAUAUAGGCCUACCGCCCAGGGGUACAAUGGUAAACUGUCUGGGUGCAGGGCCCAGCCGUCGGUCUCUUCGCCUGCUAGCCCUUCUGCCGACUGCUGGGGCCCGCCGAUUGGUGGGCCCCGCCGACUAGUCUGGUACGGAGCCGACAAGUCGUACCCGCCACUUGUGGGUCUUGCCGGCUGCUGAUUACUGUAGCCGUGCCUCUAAUGACGCAGGCUUGGUCAUGGGGUCGUGGCUACAGCCCCGCCGUCUGGUGGGUGAUCACUAUAGCCACUCCCUGUCUCGUCCAGUUGAUGGCGUGGGGAACCCGUGGGAGGGGCAGGCCGACUCCUGGGGGCCGGCUCCCUACGGGUCCGACUGGUGGCGCCCUUGCUGUCUUCCAGACUCUCGCUGACUGGUAGGGCCCGUCAUCCGUGGACCGUACCGCUCAGGCCGUCGUGGGCACAGGACUCCGCCCACUGUUGCGGAUGUCAGGGAUGGCAUGGCAACAGUGUCGCGCCAGACGGAGAUCUCCGUUGGUACAGCGCACUGUGGUAUAGCCAUCUCCUGGAUAAGGGGAGGGAGUGGGCUUUACUGUUUCCACUCCCUGUCCCAUCCCCCCUGAUGAGGGCAUGGGCUUUGUUGGUGCCGUGGGAUGACUCCCCGUGGCCGGCUUCUCCGGAAGCCGCCAGGCGGAGUCGGCCGGUCUUGACCUCGCCUCUAGGACUCGGACGGAUGCGGGCAGCCGACUGUUCCUUCUGCCGUCCUCCAGGAGGCGGCUCUUCAUCUGUUGUCUCGAGGGGAGCAGUCAGCCCUGAUGUCUUGAAAGGUUUUGGGCCUCGGGUUAUGUCGUAGAAUUGUCACGGCAGAUGUCCUUAGUGUGAGGACUUAGUCGCGAGGCCAAUGCAUCUAUGUGGUAGCUUGAGAGGGGUUGAGCGGAAUUGAGAGACGCAACACAAGACAAGGUUUUAGACAGCUUCGGGCCCCGGGAAACAUCAUCCGGUAAUAACCCUGUUGGGGAAUGUAGCAGAAUUUUAAAAUUUUCUACGCAUCACCAAGAUCAAUCUAUGGAGUCAUCGAGCAACGAGGGAGAGAGGAGUCCAUCUACAUACCCUUGUAGAUCACGUGCGGAAGCGCUCAAGAGAACAGGGUUGAUGGAGUCGUACUCGACGUGAUUCAAAUCACCGAUGACCUAGUGCCGAACGGACGACACCUCCGCAUUCAACACACGUACGGUUAGGAAGACGUCUCCUCCUUCUUGAUCCAGCAAGGGGAAAGGAGAGGUUGAUGAAGAUCCAGCAGCACGACGGCGUGGUGGUGGAUGCAGCAGGAUCCCGGCAGGGCUUCACUAAGCGCAAGCGGGGAAGAGAGGUGUUACGGAGGGAGAGGGAGGCACCAAGAGCAAGGGGGUCCGGCUGCCCUCCCUCCCCCUCUUUAUAUAGGGGCCUUGGGGGCGGCCCUAGGGAGAUGGAUCUCCAAGGGGCGACGGCCAAGGGUGGCUUCCCCCCCCAAGCCAAGUGGGGGGCGCCCCCACCCCUAGGGUUUCCCAGCCCUAGGCGCAGGGCAGGCCCAAGGGGGGGCGCACCAGCCCACUAGGGGCUGGUUCCCCACCCAAUUCAGCCCAUGGGGCCCUCCGGGAUAGGUGGCCCCACCCGGUGGACCCUCGGGACCCUUCCGGUGGUCCCGGUACAAUACCGGUAACCCCCGAAACCUUCCCGAUGGCCAAAAUUGACUUCCCAUAUAUAAAUCUUUACCUCCGGACCAUUUCGGAACUCCUCGUGAUGUCUGUGAUCUCAUCCGGGACUCCGAACAACUUUUGGGUUACUGCAUACUAAUAUCUCUACAACCCUAGCGUCACCGAACCUUAAGUGUGUAGACCCUACGGGUUCGGGAGACAUGCAGACAUGACCGAGACGCCUCUCCGGUCAAUAACCAACAGCGGGAUCUAGAUACCCAUGUUGGCUCCCACAUGCUCCAUGAUGAUCUCAUCGGAUGAACCACGAUGUCGAGGAUUCAAUCAAUUCGUAUACAAUUCCCUUUGUCAAUCGGUACGUUACUUGCCCAAGACUCGAUCGUCGGUAUCCCAAUACCUCGUUCAAUCUCGUUACCGGCAAGUCACUUUACUCGUGUCGUAAUGCAUGAUCCCGUGAUCAACCACUUGGUCACAUUGAGCUCAUUAUGAUGAUGCAUUACUGAGUGGGCCCAGAGAUACCUCUCCGUCAUACGGAGUGACAAAUCCCAGUCUCGAUUCGUGCCAACCCAACAGAUACUUUCGGAGAUACCUGUAAUGUACCUUUAUAGUCACCCAGUUACGUUGUGACGUUUGGCACACCCAAGGCACUCCUACGGUAUCCGGGAGUUGCACAAUCUCAUGGUCUAAGGAAAUGAUACUUGACAUUCGGAAAAUCUAUAGCAAACGAACUACACGAUCUUUGAGCUAUGCUUAGGAUUGGGUCUUGUCCAUCACAUCAUUCUCCUAAUGAUGUGAUCCCGUUAUCAAUGACAUCCAAUGUCCAUAGUCAGGAAACCAUGACUAUCUUUUGAUCAACGAGCUAGUCAACUAGAGGCUCACUAGGGACGUGUUGUGGUCUAUGUAUUCACACAUGUAUUACGAUUUCCGGAUAACACAAUUAUAGCAUGAACAAUAGACAAUUAUCAUGAACAAAGAAAUAUAAUAAUAACCAUUUUAUUAUUGCCUCUAGGGCAUAUUUCCAACAGUCUCCCACUUGCACUAGAGUCAAUAUUCUAGUUACAUUGUGAUGGAUCGAACACCCAUGUAGUUCUGGUGUUGAUCAUGUUUUGCUCUAGGGAGAGGUUUAGUCAAUGGAUCUGCCACAUUCAGGUCCGUAUGUACUUUACAAAUCUCUAUGUCUCCAUUUUGAACACUUUCACGAAUGGAGUUGAAGCGACGCUUGAUAUACCUCGUCUUCCUGUGAAACCUAGGCUCCUUGGCAAGGGCAAUAGCUCCAGUGUUGUCACAGAAGAGAGUCAUCGGGCCCAACGCAUUGGGUAUGACUCCUAGGUCGGUAAUGAACUCCUUCAACCAGACCGCUUCUUGUGCUGCCUCCGAGGCUACCAUGUACUCCGCUCCACAUGUAGAUCCCGCCACAACGCUUUGCUUGCAACUGCACCAGCUUACUGCCCCACCAUUCAAAAUAUACACGUAUCCGGUUUGUGACUUAGAGUCAUCCAGAUCUGUGUCGAAGCUAGCAAUGACGUAACCCUUUACGACGAGCUCUUCAUCACCUCCAUACACGAGAAACAUGUCCUUAGUCCUUUUCAGGUACUUCAGGAUAUUCUUGACCGCUGUCUAGUGUUCCAUGCCGGGAUUACUUUGGUACCUUCCUACCAAACUUACGGCAAGGUUUACAUCAGGUCUGGUACACAGCAUAGCAUACAUGAUAGACCCUAUGGCCGAGGCAUAGGGGAUGCCACUCAUCUUUUCUCUAUCUUCUGCCAUCGUCGGGCAUUGAGCCAUGCUCAAUCUCGUACCUUGCAACACAGGCAAGAAUCCCUUAUUAGACUGAUCCAUAUUGAACUUCUUCAAUAUCUUAUCAAGGUAUGUGCUUUGUGAAAGACCUAUGAGGCGUCUUGAUCUAUCUCUAUAGAUCUUGAUGCCUAAUAUAUAAGCAGCUUCUCGAAGGUCCUUCAUUGAAAAACACUUGUUCAAGUAGGCCUUUAUGCUUUCCAAGAAUUCUAUAUCAUUUCCCAUCAACAGUAUGUCAUCCACAUACAAUAUGAGAAAUGCUACAGAGCUCCCACUCACUUUCUUGUAAAUGCAGGCUUCUCCAUAAGUCUGCGUAAACCCAAACGCUUUGAUCAUCUCAUCAAAACGAAUGCUCCAACUCCGAGAUGCUUGCACCAGCCCAUAAUCGAGCGUUGGAGCUUGCACACCUUGUCAGCAUUCUUAGGAUCGACAAAACCUUCCGGCUGCAUCAGAUACAUUCUUCCUUAAGGAAACCAUUAAGGAAUGUCGUUUUCAUAGAAUGCGGCAAUUGCUAACAUGAUUCGGACGGACUUCAGCUUCGCUACGGGUGAGAAAGUCUCAUCGUAGUCAACCCCUUGAACUUGUCGAUAACCCUUAGCGACAAGCCGAGCUUUAUAGAUGGUCACAUUACCAUCCGCGUCUGUCUUCUUCUUAAAGAUCCAUUUAUUUUCUAUGGCUCACCGAUCAUCGGGCAAGUCAGUCAAAGUCCAUACUUCGUUUUCAUACAUGGAUCCUAUCUCGGAUUUCAUGGCUUCCAGCCAUUUGUCGGAAUCCGGGCCCGCCAUCGCUUCUUCAUAGUUCGAAGGUUCACCAUUGUCUAACAACAUGAUUUCCAAGACAGGGUUUCCGUACCACUCUGGUGCGGAACGUGUCCUCGUGGACCUAUGAAGUUCAGUAGUAACUUGAUCUGAAGUUUCAUGAUCAUCAUCAUUAACUUCCUCUCUAGUCGGUGCAGGCACCUCAGGAACAUUUUCUUGAGCUGCGCCACUUACUGGUUCAAGAGGUAAUACUUCAUCAAGUUCUACUUUCCUCCCACUUAUUUCUUUUGAGAGAAACUCUUUCUCUAGAAAGGACCCAUUCUUGGCAACAAAGAUCUUGCCUUCGGAUCUGAGGUAGAAGGUAUACCCAACAGUUUCUUUAGGGUAUCCUAUGAAGACGCAUUUUUCUGACUUGGGUUCAAGCUUUUCAGGUUGAAGUUUCUUGACAUAAGCAUCGCAUCCCCAACUUUUAGAAACGACAGCUUAGGUUUCUUCCUAAACCAUAAUUCAUACGGUGUCGUCUCAACGGAUUUCGACGGAGCCCUAUCUAAAGUGAAUGCGGCAGUCUCUAAAGCAUAGCCCCAAAAUGACAGCGGUAAAUCGGUAAGAGACAUCAUAUAUCGCACCAUAUCCAACAGAGUGCGAUUACAACGUUCGGACACACCAUUACACUGAGGUGUUCCAGGAGGCGUGAGUUGUGAAACUACUCCACAUUUUCUUAAGUGUGUGCCAAAUUCGUGACUCAAGUAUUCUCCCCCACGAUCUGAUCACAAGAACUUGAUUUUCUUGUCACGUUGAUACUCAACCUCACUCUGAAAUUCCUUGAACUUUUCAAAGGUCUCGGACUUGUGUUUCAUUAAGUAGACAUACCCAUAUCUACUCAAGUCAUCAGUGAGGGUGAGAACAUAACGAUAGCCACCACGAGCCUCAACACUCAUUGGACCACACACAUCAGUAUGUAUGAUUUCCAAUAAGUUGGUUGCUCGCUCCAUUGUUCCUGAGAACGGAGUCUUGGUCAUUUUACCCAUGAGGCAUGGUUCGCACGUGUCAAAUGAUUCAUAAUCAAGAGACUCUAAAAGUCCAUCUGCAUGGAGCUUCUUCAUGCGUUUGACACCUAUGUGACCAAGGCAGCAGUGCCACAAGUAUGUGGGACUAUCAUUAUCAACCUUACAUCUUUUGGUAUUCACACUAUGAAUAUGUGUAGCAUUACGCUCGAGAUUCAUUAAGAAUAAACCAUUCACCAUCGGAGCAUGACCAUAAAACAUAUCUCUCAUAUAAAUAGAACAACCAUUAUUCUCGGAUUUAAAUGAGUAGCCAUCUCGAAUUAAACGAGAUCCUGAUACAAUGUUCAUGCUCUAAGCUGGCACUAAAUAACAAUUAUUGAGGUUUAAAACUAAUCCCGUAGGUAAAUGUAGAGGCAGCGUGCCGACGGCGAUCACAUCGACCUUGGAACCAUUCCCGACGCGCAUCGUCACCUCGUCCUUCGCCAGUCUCCGCUUAUUCCGCAGCUCCUGCUUUGAGUUACAAAUGUGAGCAACCGCACCGGUAUCAAAUACCGAGGAGCUACUACGAGUACUGGUAAGGUACACAUCAAUUACAUGUAUAUCACAUAUACCUUUAGUGUUGCCGACCUUCUUGUCCGCUAAGUAUUUGGGGCAGUCUCGGGCUUGGGUCCAUUCUUUGGCCUCUUCCUGGCAGCUUGCUUACCGGGCGCAGCAACUCCCUUGCCGUCCUUCUUGAAGUUCUUCUUACCCUUGCCUUUCUUGAACUUAGUGGUUUUAUUCACCAUCAACACUUGAUGUUCCUUUCUGAUUUCCACCUCUGCUGAUUUCAGCAUUGAAUACACCUCAGGAGUGGUCUUUUCCAUCCCCUGCAUAUUGAAGUUCAUCACAAAGCUCUUGUAGCUCGGUGGAAGCGACUGAAGGAUUCUGUCAAUGACCGCGUCAUCCGGGAGAUUAACUCCCAGCUGAGUCAAGCGGUUAUGCAACCCAGACAUUCUGAGUAUGUGCUCACUGACAGAACUAUUUUCCUCCAUCUUACAGCUGAAGAACUUGUCGGAGACUUCAUAUCUCUCGACCCGGGCAUGAGCUUGAAAAACCAUUUUCAUCUCUUCGAACAUCUCAUAUGCUCCGUGUCUCUCAAAACGCUUUUGGAGCCCUGGUUCUAAGCUGUAAAGCAUGCCGCACUGAACGAGGGAGUAAUCAUCAGCACGUGACUGCCAAGCGUUCAUAACGUCUUGGUUCUCUGGGACAGGUGUGUCACCUAGCGGUGCUUCUAGGACAUAAUCUUUCUUGGCAACUAUGAGGAUGGUCCUCAGGUUCUGGACCCAGUCCGUAUAGUUGCUGCCAUCGUCUUUCAACUUGGUUUUCUCUAGGAACGCGUUGAAGUUGAGGACAACGUGGGCCAUUUGAUCUACAAGACAUAUUGUAAAGAUUUUAGACUAAGUUCAUGAUAAUUAAGUUCAUCUAAUCAAAUUACUCAAUGAACUCCCACUCAGAUAGACAUCCCUCCAGUCAUCUAAGUGUAACAUGAUCCGAGUUAACUAGGCCGUGUCCGAUCAUCACGUGAGAAGGACUAGCCAACAUCGGUGAACAUCUUCAUGUUGAUCGAAUCUUCUAUACGACUCAUGCUCGACCUUUCGGUCUUCCGUGUUCCGAGGCCAUGUUUGUACAUGCUAGGCUCGUCAAGUCAACAUAAGUGUAUUGCGUGUGUAAAUCUGGCUUACACCUAUUGUAUUCGAACGUUAGAAUCUAUCACACCCGAUCAUCAUGUGGUGCUUUGAAACAACGAACCUUCGCAACGGUGCACAGUUAGGGGGAACACUUUCUUGAAAUUAUUACGAGGGAUCAUCUUAUUAAGCUACUGUUGUUCUAAGCAAAUAAGAUGUAAAACAUGAUAAACAUCACAUCCAAUCAAAUAGUGACGUGAUAUGGCCCAUAUCAUUUGCUCCUUUUGAUCUCCAUCUUCGGGGCUCCAUGAUCAUCGUUGUCACCGGCAUGACAGCAUGAUCUCCAUCAUCGUGUCUUCUUGAAGUUGUCUCGUCAUCUAUUACUUCUACUACUAUGGCUAACGCUUUAGCAAUAAAGUAAAGUAAUUACAUGACGUUUAUGUUGACACGCAGGUCAUAAAUAAAUAAAUAAAGACAACUCCUAUGGCUCCUGCCGGUUGUCAUACUCAUCGACAUGCAAGUCGUGAUUCCUAUUACAAGAACAUGAUCAUCUCAUACAUCACAUAUAUCAUUCAUCACAUCCUUUGGCCAUAUCACAAAACACUUGCUGCAAAAACAAGUUAGACGUCCUCUAAUUGUUGUUGCAAGUUUUUACGUGGCUGCUAUAGGUUUCUAGCAAGAACGUUUCUUACCUACGCCAAAACCACAACGUGAAUUGCCAAUUUCUAUUUACCCUUCAAAAGGACCCUGUUCAUCGAAUCCGAUCCGACUAAAGUGGGAGAGACAGACACCCGCCAGCCACCUUAUGCAACUAGUGCAUGUCAGUCGGUGGAACCAGUCUCACGUAAGCGUAUGUGUAAGGUCGGUCCGGGCCGCUUCAUCCCACGAUGCCGACGAAUCAAGAUAAUACUAGUAACGGCAAGCAAAUUGACAAUAUCGACGCCCACAACUGCUUUGUGUUCUACUCGUGCAUAGUAACUACGCAUAGACCUAGCUCAUGAUGCCACUGUUGGGGAACGUAGCAGAAUUUUAAAAUUUUCUACGCAUCACCAAGAUCAAUCUAUGGAGUCAUCUAGCAAUGAGGGAGAGAGGAGUGCAUCUACAUACCCUUGUAGAUCGUGUGCGGAAGCGUUCAAGAGAACAGGGUUGAUGGAGUUGUACUCGACGUGAUUCAAAUCACCGAUGACCUAGUGCCGAAUGGACGGCACCUCCGCGUUCAACACACGUACGGUUAGGAAGACGUAUCCUCCUUCUUGAUCCAGCAAGGGGAAAGGAGAGGUUGAUGAAGAUCCAGCAGCACGAUGGCGUGGUGGUAGAUGCAGCAGGAUCCCGGCAGGGCUUCGCCAAGCGCAAGCGGGCAGGAGAGGUGUUACGGAGGGAGAGGGAGGUGCCAAGAGCAAGGGGGUCGGCUGCCCUCCCCCCUCUUUAUAUAGGGGCCUUGGGGGGCACCGGCCCUAGGGAGAUGGAUCUCCAAGGGGGCGGCGGCCAAGGGUGGCUUCCCCCCCAAGCCAAGUGGGGGGCGCCCCCACCCCUAGGAUUUCCCAACCCUAGGCAUAGGGCAGGUCCAAGGGGGGGGGCGCACCAGCCCACUAGGGGCUGGUUCCCCACCCAAUUCAGCCCAUGGGGCCCUCCGGGAUAGGUGGCCCCACCCGAUGGACCCCCGGGACCCUUCCGGUGGUCCCAGUACAAUACCGGUAACCCUCGAAACCUUCCCGAUGGCCAAAACUUGACUUCCCAUAUAUAAAUCUUUACCUCCGGACCAUUACGGAACUCCUCGUGACGUCCGUGAUCUCAUCUGGGACUCCGAACAACUUUUGGGUUACUGCAUACUAAUAUCUCUACAACCCUAGUGUCACCGAACCUUAAGUGUGUAGACCCUACGGGUUCGGGAGACAUGCAGACAUGACCAAGAUGCCUCUCCGGUCAAUAACCAACAGCAGGAUUUGGAUACCCAUGUUGGCUCCCACAUGCUCCACGAUGAUCUCAUCGGAUGAACCACGAUGUCGAGGAUUCAAUCAAUCCGUAUACAAUUCCCUUUGUCAAUCGGUACGUUACUUGCCCGAGACUCGAUCGUCGGUAUCCCAAUACCUCGUUCAAUCUCGUUACGGGCAAGUCACUUUACUCGUGCCAUAAUGCAUGAUCCCGUGGUCAACCACUUGGUCACAUUGAGCUCAUUAUGAUGAUGCAUUACCGAGUGGGCCCAGAGAUACCUCUCCGUCAUACAGAGUGACAAAUCCCAGUCUCGAUUCGUGCCAACCCAAUAGAUACUUUCGGAGAUACCUGUAAUGUACCUUUAUAGUCACCCAGUUACGUUGUGACAUUUGGCACACCCAAGGCACUCCUACGGUAUCCGGGAGUUGCACAAUCUCAUGGUCUAAGGAAAUGAUACUUGACAUUCGGAAAAGCUACAGCAAACGAACUACACGAUCUUUGAGCUAUGCUUAGGAUUGGGUCUUGUCCAUCACAUCAUUCUCCUAAUGAUGUGAUCCCGUUAUCAAUGACAUCCAAUGUCCAUAGUCAGGAAACUAUGACUAUCUUUUGAUCAACGAGCUAGUCAACUAGAGGCUCACUAGGGACGUGUUGUGGUCUAUGUAUUCACACAUGUAUUACGAUUUCCGGAUAACACAAUUAUAGCAUGAACAAUAGACAAUUAUCAUGAACAAAGAAAUAUAAUAAUAACCAUUUUAUUAUUGCCUCUAGGGCACAUUUCCAACAAACCCUACAUGUUGUUUGUGGCUAGGUCUCAUUCUGAUCAUGAGGGAGUUGCCGGUAAGCCGGCUCUUUGUGUCUAGCCCUAGAGAUUAUUUUCUGUCCCUCUUUGGGGAGCCCUGCCCCUCCUUAUAUAUGUUGAAGGGGCGGGUUACAUGUGGAGUCCUAGUAGGACUAGUCUAUCCUUUGUCACAAGUUGAAUACAAGUCCGGGUCUUGCUUCCUCGUAAAGAAAAUAUUCGUCAUCCCCUUCCUCUUAAGCCGGCCCACCAGAAUAUAAGCCGGCCCGCUCGGCCUUGGGCCUUGUCGUCCGUCUGUCCGCCCACCGGGUCUCCAGUGAGUCACAAUGUCCUGGCGGGUUACAUGUAAACUGCCAUGUCCGGGCGGAUCGUCAGUGAGUCGCCAAGCUCCGGCCAGGUCUUUGGUGAGUCGCCAAGCCCGGCCGGGUCAUGAUUCCGGCCGGGUCAUACCGUGGGGUAUAUCCCCGACAGGUUAGCCUACCCGUGGCCCAUUACUCCGACAAUAGUCCCCGAAGCUGAUGAGGCGCCGCGGGCAACCAGCCGACGAGCCUCCAUAUUUUCUUUCUCCGAGUAUUUGAGGUGGAAACCUCGUUCGAUUUUGCUGGGCCGACUGGUAGAAGUCGGAUUCACCCGAUUUGACUCGUCCAAAACUUUCGAAUGCCCCGGCGGGAACCCUGUGGCGUACCAGCUAAGCUUCCUGGCCGCCACCCGUUUCGGGCCCGCCAUGUGGCAACCGGCGGCCGGGCCAACCCUCCUACCCAUACACGCGACGGGACAUGCCUACAGGUGGGGCCCGCCACCACCGUGCCUCGGCACGCGAGCGGAUCCGUUGCGACUGGGGGGGGGCGUUUAAGGUUCCCACGGAGUUACUACGCGUAGUAACUUUACGCGAUAAACAUGGGGGCGUGGGGUAGUGGGCGCAGUAGAUCCCACAACCACCCCCUCGGCUUCGCAGCCGAUGAGGCUAUAAGUAGGGGGAGGAGGGGGAGCGGCGGAGCACGCGCGUCCCUCCUCCUCAUUGCUUCUUCUUCUUCUUCUCUGUCUCUCCGCACCUCAAGCUACGUCAAGCGCUGCGGCGGUCCGCUCACAAUGAGCUCUUCCUCCGCCGUCACGCCCCCUACGGCGCACUCCGGCACCUGGGACGGUUCGGAGGUCCACGACGAUCAUGUCGAUUUCCUCCGCAAGACGCAUCGGUUGCCCGGCGAGGACCUCGUGCGGAUCCGCCUCGCGCGGAGGGGGGAAAUUUCACCGGCGCCGCAGGAGGGCAAGCGGGUCGUCUUCCACUCACACUGCCUACGCGGCCUGGGCCUAUCGGCAAGCGGCUUCUUCCGCUCUUUCCUUGAGUUCUACGGACUCCAGCCGCACCACCUUACUCCCAAUACGGUGGUGCUACUGUCCGCCUUCGUCACCUUGUGUGAAGGCUUCCUCGGUGUUCUCCCCACUAUCGAGCUCUGGGGGGAGUUCUUCUACUCCAAGCUCGGCACCCAAGCCGCGCGCGUGCCGGCUCAGUGCGACGCGUUCAUCACCGUGCGGAGGUCGGGGGCCGACAACCCGUUUCCCUCCAUCAAGCUGAUAAAGUCGGUGAAGAUGUGGCAGCGGUCGUACUUCUACAUGAAGAACAUCUCCACGGAGGGUGAUUGGGUCAAUCUGUCGGCCUACGUAGCCGGCCCGCCAGCGGGAAGGCAGCCCAACUAGUCGCAUUGGGCCAGGACACUGACGCCCGUCGAAGCCGGCGCCGUUGCAUGACUCCGAGUGCUGAUGCAGUCGGAGGGCCUGACCGGGCUAGAUUUGCUGGCCGCCUUCGUGGCGCGUCGAGUGCUCCCACUCCAAAGUCGCCCCCACAUGAUCUGCCAGAUGAGUGGGCACCGGGACCCGAGUCGGAUGUGCACCAAGGAAAUGCCUUACGAGGAGGUAGCCUAUAUGGUAAAUUAUCUUGCGAGCUGCGACCUCAAAGAAGAGUGGCAGUUCGGCAAGGAGCCGUAUUCAUGUGCCGCCCCUCCGCCUCUGGUGAGUCGUUUUCCUUUCCUCUUUUUCUUUGACUCUCAUGACUUCUUUGCUGUCGAGUCCGUGUUGUCCGAUCUGACCAGUCGGCUUUGGUCAGAACCCCCUCCACUAGCCAGCAGCCGGCACCAUGGGGCCGGACCGCUAAUUCCUCCUCGACCGAGCAGAGAGCGACGUUGACGACCCCGACUUGGGGGCGGCGGCCCUGGAGGACGACGCCGAGGGAGGAAGCGGCGCAGUGGGUGGCCCGAGACUUGGGGCCAGUCUCGAGAACUGGCCCGAUGAUGAGAAGGAGGUCGCCCCGCGCCACCAGCCAGGAGCCGGCCAGCCGGGCGCGAGCUCGUCCGCCGCGCCGGACACUCAAGGCGGGGCCAAGAAGCGUAGGGCCGGGAUGAGCAUGUUCGGCAGCCGGCCGAAGAAGCCCAAGGGCGCAGCCGCGGCGAGCAAGCGGGACGAAGCGGCCGCAAAGGCCAACCGCUUUCGCAAGGUGGUGAAGACGUCGUAGCUGAUUUCGGCGUAAGUACUACCUCCCUUUGCACCUUCACAUUUCUUCGUUGACUCUGUCUGAAAUUCCUUUGCUUUAUUUUUCUCGACUUUAGGGCCCCGCUCUCUCUUGAGAAGUCGGCUACCGACUCCGUUGUAAAGUCGGCGGAGACCUCCUCCACCACCAGGCGGAUUGAUCCGGCCGCCGACCUCCGGGAGGCGACAAAGUGGAACGCGCGGGAGGCGCGCGAGGAGCGGGAAGCCGCCCGCCUGAAGAAGGCGGAAGCCGACAAGGCGGAGGCCACCGCCCUAAAGAAGCUGGCGGAAGCCGAGGCCGCCGACGCGGAGAAGAAGCGCGCUGAAGAAGCCGCACGCCGCCAGUCGAUGGUGUUUGUCGUCCCCCUGAACUAUGCGCCGCCACCACCAGAGUUCAUGGUGUAGACUGGGGAAGUCGGCGACGAGAACCCGGUCAUGGAGAGGGACGUUGACGACACCGCCACGCCGGGCGUAAUUGUGCCUCCACCGCCGCCCUCCGGAAGCGCGCCAGGCGGGCAGCCGGCGGACCCGCUGGUGCCGCCAACUAAAGGCGUGGUGGCAACGGGCCUGGCUCUCGAGGUCGGCACGCCGACGCGCCGCCGUCUCGCGAAGGCGGCCUCGGCGCCGCGCCCUCUGGAGAUCGGCGCCAUGUGAUACGACUCCGUCGUAUCUACUUUUCCAAACACUUUUGCCCUUGUUUUGGACUCUAACUUGUAUGAUUUGAAUGGAACUAACCCGACUGACGUUGUUUUCAGCAAAAUUGCCAUGGUGUUGUUUUAUGUGCAGAAAACAAAUAUUCUCAGAACGACCUAAAACUCCAAGGAACAUUUUAGAAAAAACAAUAAAAAAUCCUCGCCAAAGAUGAAGACCUGGGGGCCCACACCCUUCUCACGAGGGUGGCCCCCCUAGGGCAUGCCCCCCUACCUCGUGGGCCCCCUGGAAACCCUCCGACGCCAACUCCAACUCUAUAUAUUUGCUUUUUGAGAGAAAAAAAUAAGAGAGAAGAACUCAUCGCGUUUUACGAUACGGAGCCGCCGCCAAGCCCUAAAACCUCUCAGGAGGGCUGAUCUGGAGUCUGUUCGGGGCUCCAGAGAGGGGGAUUCGUCGUUGUCGUCAUCAUCAACCAUCCUCCAUCACUAAUUUCAUGAUGCUCACCGCCGUGCGUGAGUAAUUCCAUCGUAGGCUUGCUGGACGGUGAUGGGUUGGAUGAGAUUUAUCAUGUAAUCGAGUUAGUUUUGUUAGGGUUUGAUCCCUAGUAUCCAUUAUGUUCUGAGAUUGAUGUUGCUAUGACUUUGCUAUGCUUAAUGCUUGUCACUAGGGCCCGAGUGCCAUGAUUUCAGAUCUAAACCUAUUAUGUUUUCAUGAAUAUAUGUGAGUUCUUGAUCCUAUCUUGCAAGUCUAUAGUCACCUACUAUGUGUUAUGAUCCGGCAACCCCGAAGUGACAAUAAUCGGGACCACUCCCGGUGAUGACCAUAGUUUGAGGAGUGCAUGUAUUCACUAUGUGCUAAUGCUUUUUUCCGGUUCUCUAUUAAAAGGAGGCCUUAAUAUCCCUUAGUUUCCAAUAGGACCCCACUGCCACGGGAGGGUAGGACAAAAGAUGUCAUGCAAGUUCUUUUCCAUAAGCACAUAUGACUAUAUACGGAAUACAUGCCUACAUUACAUUGAUGAAUUGGAGCUAGUUCUGUGUCACCCUAUGUUAUGUCUGUUACAUGAUGAACCGCAUCCGGCAUAAUUAUCCAUCACUGAUCCGGUGCCUACGAGUUUUCCAUAUACUGGUUUACGUUUAUUUAUUUUCCUGCUGCUACUGUUACAAUUACUACAAAAUACCAAAAACACUACUUUUGUUGUCUUUACUUUUGUUGUCGCUACCGCCACUAUCAUAUUACUUUGCUACUAAACACUUUACUGCAGAUACUAAGUUUCCAGGUGUGGUUGAAUUGAAAACUCAGCUGCUAAUACUUGAGAAUAUUCUUUGGCUCCCCUUGUGUCAAAUCAAUAAAUUUGGGUUGAAUACUCUACCCUCGAAAGCUGUUGCGAUCCCCUAUACUUGUGGGUUAUCAAGACUAAUUUCUGGCGCCGUUGCCGGGGAGCAUAGCUCUAUUCUUUGAGUCACUUGGGAUUUAUAUCUGCUGGACACUAUGAAGAACUUGAGAGAUCCAAAAACCAAGAUCUAUCCCUCAACUACGAGGGGAGGUAAGGAACUGCCAUCUAGCUCUACACUUGAUUCACCUUCUGUUAUGAGUAAGCUAGCGACACCUACACAUGCUUCUGCUAUUCGUUCUGAUAUGUCGCAUGUUAUUGAUGAUGCCACUUCUGCUAUGCAUGAUACAUAUGAUGAAACCGCUUCUAUGCCUGAUACUACUGUGCCCCUUGGUGAAUUUCUUGAUGAAUAAAUUGCUAGGGCUAGAGAAAAAGAAAUUAUUGAAUCUAAAUACGAUGAUGAUAGUGAUGAUGAAAAUAUGCCUGUUAUUCCCGAGGGCUAUCUUUUUGAUAUGGAAUCUUCUGCCGCUAUUUUAGCUUGCAAGGAUAGAUAUGAGCUUAAGAGGCUAUUAGUUAAAUGGAACAAAGAAUCACUUAGAGAUAAAAUGAGGCCCGACCCUGCUUUUGCUACUUCACCUAUAUGUGUUCCUGAUAAGGAUUAUGAAUUCUCUGUUGACCCUGAUAUAAUUACUUUGGUUGAAUCUGAUCCGUUUUAUGGCUAUGAAUCUGAAACUGUCGUGGCACAUCUUACUAAGUUAAAUGAUAUAGCUGCCCUGUUCACUAAUGAUUAGAGAUCGUGUUACUUUUAUAUACUCAAAGUAUUUCCAUUCUCAUUAAAGGGUGAUGCUAAGACAUGGUUUAAUUCUCUUGAUCCUGGUUGUGUGCGUAGUCCCCAGGAUAUGAUUUAUUACUUCUCUGCUAAAUAUUUCCCUGCUCAUAAGAACAAGCUGCUUUGAGGGAAAUAUACAACUUCGUGCAAAUUAAAGAAGAGAGUCUCCCACAAGCUUGGGGGAGGCUUCUCAAGUUACUUAAUGCUUUGCCUGAUCAUCCUCUUAAGAAACCUGAAAUACUUGAUAUCUUUUAUAAUGGACUAACCGAUGCUUCCAGAGAUUACCUGGAUAGUUGUGCUGGUUCUCUUUUCAGGGAAAGAACACCGGAUGAAGCUAAAAUUCUAUUGAAUAAUAUGUUGACAAAUGAAAAUAAUUGGGCACCUCCUGAGCCAGCUCCUGAGCCAUCUCCUGCUCCAAUUACUGAGCCUAUUCCUAAACCAACUCCGAAGAAGAGAGGUGUUCUAUUUCUCAGUCCCGAAGAUAUGCAAGAGGCAAAGAAAUCUAUGAAAGAAAAAGGUAUUAAAGCUGAAGACGUUAAGAAUUUACCUCCUAUUGAAGAAAUACAUGGUCUUAAUAUACCUCCUGUUGAAGAAACAUAUGAUCUCAAUUCUUUAUUUACUGAAGAACCUCCUGAUCCCGAUAUCCCGGCACAGGUAGUAAAGGUAAAUUCUCUCUAUAGAUAUGAUAAAACUGAAGUUCCUCCUACUAAAAUUGCUAGUCAGUGCUUGGAUGAGUUUCAUAACUUUAUGUUUAAGCAAGAUGACUUCAAUGCUUAUUUUGGUAGACAAUUAAAAGAAAAUGCUUAUAUGAUUAGACGCUUGGGUGAUUAUAUGGCUAAUAUUAAAGGUGAACUUAAACUUGUUAGCAAACAUGCUUCUAUGGUUACCACUCAAGUAGAACAAGUACUUAAGGCUCAAAAAGAAGUGCUUGAUGAAAUGAAAAGUAAGAAAAAUGAUUAUGCUGUUAGAGUGGCUACUAGAACUGGUAGAAUGACUCAGGAACCUUUGUAUCCUGAAGGCCACCCUAAGAGAAUCGAGCAAGAUUCUCAAAGAAAUAAUAUUGAUGUUCCUAGUUCUUCUAAAAAGAAGAAGAAGAAAAAUGAUAGAACUGUGCAAAAUUCUAGUGAAACUAUUGCUGAACCACCUGAUAAUCCAAAUGAUAUUUCUAUGUCUGAUGCUGAAACACAAUCUGGUAAUGAACAUGAACCUAGUAAAAAUAUUAAUGAUGAUGUUCAUGAUGAUGCUCAACCUAGUAAUGAUAAAGUUUAGAAAUUGAACCUGCUGUUGAUCUUGAGUAACCCACAAUCAAAGAAUCAACUUUAUGAUAAAAGAGACUUUGUUGCUAGGAAACAUGGUAAAGAAAGGGAACCUUGGGUUCAGAAACCCAUGCCUUUUCCUCCGAAACCAUCCAAGAAAAAGGAUGAUGAGGAUUUUGAGCGCUUUGCUAAAAUGAUUAGGCCUAUCUUCUUGCGUAUGCGAUUAACUGAUGUGCUCAAAACAAAUCCUUAUGCUAAAUAUAUGAAGGAUAUCAUUACUAAUAAAAGAAAGAUACCGGAAGCUGAAAUUUCCACCAUGCUUGCUAAUUAUACUUUUAAGGGUGGAAUACCAAAGAAACUUGGAGACCCCGGAGUACCUACUAUACCUUGCUCCAUUAAAAGAAAUUAUAUUAAAACUGUUUUAUGUGAUCUUGGAGCCGGUGUUAGUGUUAUGCCUCUCUCUUUAUAUCAUAGACUUGACUUGAAUAAGCUGACACCUACUGAAAUAUCUUUGCAAAUGGCUGAUAAAUCAACUGCUAUACCUGUCGGUAUUUGUGAGGAUGUGCCUGUUGUGGUUGCAAACGUUAUUAUUUUAAUGGACUUUGUUAUACUUGAUAUUCCCGAGGAUGAUAGUAUGUCUAUUAUUCUUGGAAGACCUUUUCUUAAUACUGCAGGGGCUGUUAUUGAUUGCAACAAAGGCAAUGUCACUUUUCAUGUUAAUGGUAAUGAACAUACGGUACACUUUCCGAGGAAACAACCUCAAGUUCAUAGUAUCAACUCUAUUGGAAAAAAUCCAUCGAUUAUAUUUGGAGGUUUUGAAUUUCCUCUUCCUACUGUCAAGAAGAAAUAUGAUAUUCUUAUUAUUGGGGAUGUGCAUAUCCCCGUUGAGGUAACUUAGUGUUAUUCGAAAUUUCUCCGGUUUCAUGAUUAUCGGAAUGAGUUUGUUAACAAGACUUGAUCAACCUUGUUAGUGGAUUCUUUUUGAUGAGCAUGAGAUGGAUGAAACUAGAAGCACAACCUUCUGUACCCCACUUUUACUUUCUGUUAUUUAUAUUAAAUAAAGUAAAAAUAGUAUUUUCAGUCUGUUUCCUGACUUAUCCGUGCAAUAUAAAAAUAUUCCGAAAAUAAAAGUCCUCAGAAUGCCAUGCCAAUUUAAUAUGAUUUUUUCGGGAAUAUUUGAGGAUUUACUGUGCAAAAAUUACCGCGGGAGGAGCUGCCACCUGACCACGAGGGUGGUGGGCGCCCCCUAGGGCGCGCCCCCCUGCCUCAUGGGCCCAUGGUGGCCCUCCUCCACUUAUCCCAGCACAAACCCGAAAAACCAACUCAAGCACGAGUUCCAGCCACUUUUGCUGCGAUUUUCGAUCUCCUUGCUCAAAGCACCUCUCGCAAAACUGCUUGGGGAGAUCGUUCCUUGGUAUGUGACUCCUCCUUUGGUCCAAUUAGUUUUUGUUCUAGUGCUUUAUUCUUUGCAAAUUUGUGCUGCAUAGGUGACCAUGUUCUUUAGCUUGCAUGUCAAAUUUAUAUGGUUCUAAGUAGUUCUAAUGCUUGAUAUAGGCUCUAGGCACUUGUAGGAGUAGUUGCUAUCAAUAUUAUUGAAGUUGGUUCAUUUUUGUUUGAAGUUACUAAAAAUUUCAGAUUGUUUCAGAAAAAUAAUGAGGAGAUUUUUGAGGGGCUCGUCGAGCCAAAGCUCGAAGGAAAAGGCACCGAAGCCUAAGUAUAAUUUGUUGCGCACCACGGAGAUUCGGGCGUGUGAAUGGACUUCUGAAGAUUUCUUGAGAGCAGCCGGUAUCUAUGAAGAUUUUCAUGAAUUGUCUCACAAUGCAGGCCUCACCGCUUUCCUCCACGACCAAUGCGAUCAGUAUCUCUUACUCACAAAUACUUUUGUGCAAAACUUUCAUUUUCAUUCUAGGAACUCGCCACCUACGGUGGAGUUUCAUUUAUAUGAUGAGCAUAAGGAGAUGUCACUUUAUGAUUUCUGUCGGAUUUGCUUAAUCCCUUUUGAGGGCAAGACAGAAGAACCACAUCAUGAUGAUGUGGCUGGGUUUAUUGAUACUAUCACUGUAGGAGAAACUAGAAAGGUUUUCGAUGCACGAAUCACUAGCAUACAUUUUCCUGUUUUACGUUACUUUGCAUUAUUUGCUAGUCGUUGUUUAAUUGGACGCGGAAACAGUGGAAACCUUAGUAUCCCUGAUAUAAUUAUUCUGCACCACGAUUUAUACAGUGAUAACACUUUUAGUAUGGGCGGUAUUAUUGCUAGACGGUUAAGUAUGAACCGUACUAAGGGUCCCAUCUUUGCAGGCGUCUAUGCCACACGCCUAGCUGCACAUUUUAACAUACCUAUUAGGCAUGCUGAGAAGGACGAAAAGGUGUUGCCCCGUGUUUAUCUAGAUCAUAAAAGUAUGGUGGCACAUGAUUUAUUGUUAAGAAUAGGGCAGGAGAGCUUAAAUAUCAAUUGUUCUUAACAAACAUCAUCCUGAGACUAUUAUCCUGCCUGCUCCUUCUUUGUCUAAUUUUGUAGGACCCUACCUCGUUACGUGGGCUGCCGUCCAAGAUUACAAGAAUCCUGCACCAGCCCCGGAACAGGAACCACAAGAUGAGCCUCCACGACAAUCUGUUUAUUCUUGGGAUCCAGAGAUGAUUGUCAGCCAGUGGCAGUCAGAGUCUUCUUCCUCAUCACAGUACGACCCCAACAACUAUUAUUAUGGAUAUCCGCCAGGCCAGCCGUGGCCAUAGACCAACUUAGGCCAAAAGCCUAAGCUUGGGGGAGUACGUAUUUCUCACCUACAUUACAUUUAUGUUCACACACACUCAUUGCUAGAUGUCGGUGCUCAUACUUUUUCACUGUAAUAUCCAUGCUAGUCUAUUUUCUUUUUCCUGCUUUCUUCUUGUAUGUUUGUUAAACCUUAAGAAAAACAAAAAAAAAUAGAAGUAGUUUAUUUUUCUGCUGUAGUAGUAACAACUAAAAAGAAAACCCAAAAAUAUUUCCCGUUCUUCUUUUGCUUGUUGGGAGCUUUCCUGUGUAAAUAGUUUUAUUUCUUUUCUUUUCUUUGGGGGUCAGUAGGAGAAGACCAUAAUUAAAUUGUUGAAGUGGCUCUUAUAUGCAUUAUUGUUGAUUAACCAAGAGCCCAUAUUGCCUUGUCUUCUCCUGUUUAUUGAAUGCUCGCAGAUUCUACUUAGUCCAAUGCACGUGCACUCUUAUUAUUAUUCACACCGUGCGGUCGUGCAAGUGAAAGGCAAUUAUGAUGAUAUAUGAUGGACUGACUGAGAUGAGAAAAGCUGGUUUGAACUCGACCUCUUUUGUUUUUGUAAAUAUGAUGAGUUCCUCGUUCUUGAUUCAGCUUAUUACGAAUAAACAUGUUUGCAAUGACAAUUAGAGAUCAUAGUUGCUUGUGCCAUGCUUGAUUAGCUAUGAGUUAUAAUGAUUUACCCUGUAUGCCAACAUGCUAUUGAGAUGAUUAUGAUGUGGUAUGAUGGGGUGGUAUCCUCUUUUGAAUGAUUUAAGUGACUUGACUUGGCACAUGUUCACGCAUGUAGUUGAAACAAAAUCAACAUAGCCUUCACGAUAUUUAUGUUCAUGGUGGAUUAUAUCCUACUCAUGCUUGCAUCCAAUGUUUAUUAAUUUUAAUGCAUGUACAUGGUUGUUGUCGCUCUCUAGUUGGUCGCUUCCCAGUCUUUUGCUAGCCUUCACUUGUACUAAGCGGGAAUACUGCUUGUGCAUCCAAUCCCUUAAAUCCCAAAGUUAUUCCAGAUGAGUCCACCAUACCUUCCUAUAUGCGGUAUCUACCUGCCGUUCCAAGUAAAUGUAUAUGUGCCAAACUCUAAACCUUCAAAUAAACAUUCUGUUUUGUAUGCUCGAAUAGCUCAUGUAUCAACAAAGGUUGUCCUUAUCUUCCGUGUUAGGCGGGUUAUUCUCAAGAGGAGUGGACUCCGCUCCUCACUCACGAGAAAAUGGCUAGUCACCGGGAUGCCCAGUCCCAUGCUUUAUGCAAACUAAAUCAAAAUUAAUUGCAAACAAAACUCCCCCUGGGACCUGAUGUAUGUUGGAGGCACUCGUUGUUUCGAGCAAGCCAUGGAUUGAUGCUUGUUGGUGGAGGGGGAGUAUAAACUUUACCAUUCUGUUUGGGAACCGCCUAUAAUGUGUUUAGCAUGGAAGAUAUCACCAUCUCUUAGUUGUUACGUUGACAAUGAAAGUAUACCGCUCAAAAUACAAUUUAUCUCUAUUUCAAAACCGAGCUCUGGCACCUCUACAAAUCCCUGCUUCCCUCUGCGAAGGGCCUAUCCAUUUACUUUUAUGUUGAGUCAUCACCCUCUUAUUAAAAAGCACUAGCUGGAGAGCACAACCGUCAUUUGCAUUCAUCACUGUUAAUUUAUAUUGGGUAUGACUAUGAUUGGAUCUCUUUUACCAUGAAUUACAAUGUCUAGUUAGUCCUUGAUGUUUAAAGGUGCUCUGUAUUUAUGUUUUGCGGUCUCAGAAAGGGCUAGCGAGAUACCAUCUUGUUAUAUCAUAUUAUGAUUGUUUUGAGAAAGUGUUGUCAUCCGAGAUUUAUUAUUAUGACUUGCUAGUUGAUUAUGCUAUUGAUAUGAGUAAUUGUGAGACCUGAGAAUUAUUGCAAAUGUGGCUAGUUAUGGUCUAUGCUGAAAACUUGAAUGCUGGCUUGACAUAGUUACAACAACAAGAGCAAACAGAGUUUGUAAAAGUUUUUCUUUCUUUCAGUUUGUCAACUGAAUUGCUUGAGGACAAGCAAGGGUUUAAGCUUGGGGGAGUUGAUACGUCUCCGUCGUAUCUACUUUUCCAAACACUUUUGCCCUUGUUUUGGACUCUAACUUGUAUGAUUUGAAUGGAACUAACCCGGACUGACGCUGUUUUCAGCAGAAUUGCCAUGGUGUUGUUUUAUGUGCAGAAAACAAAUAUUCUCGGAAUGACCUGAAACUCCACGGAACAUAUUAGAAAAAACAAUAAAAAAUCCUCGCCAAAGAUGAAUACCAGGGGGCCCACACCCUUCUCACGAGGGUGGGGGGCGCCCCCCCCUAGGGCGUGCCCCCCUACCUCAUGGCCCCCCUGGAAACCGUCCGACGCCAACUCCUACUCUAUAUAUUUGCUUUCGGAGAGAAAAAAUAAGAGAGAAGAAAUCAUCGCAUUUUACGAUACGAAGCCGCCGCCAAGCCCUAAAACCUCUCGGGAGGGCUGAUCUGGAGUCCGUCCGGGGCUCCGGGGAGGGGGGGUUUGUCGCCAUCGUCAUCAUCAACCAUCCUCCAUCACCAACUUAAUGAUGCUCACCGCCGUGCAUGAGUAAUUCCAUCGUAGGCUUGCUGGACGGUGAUUGGUUGGAUGAGAUUUAUCAUGUAAUCGAGUUAGUUUUGUUAGGGUUUGAUCCCUAGUAUCCAUUAUGUUCUGAGAUUGAUGUUGCUAUGACUUUGCUAUGCUUAAUGCUUGUCACUAGGGCCUGAGUGCCAUGAUUUCAGAUCUGAACCUAUUAUGUUUUCAUGAAUAUAUGUGAGUUCUUGAUCCUAUCUUGCAAGUCUAUAGUCACCUACUAUGUGUUAUGAUCCGGCAACCCCGAAGUGACAAUAAUCGGGACCACUCCCGGUGAUGACCAUAGUUUGAGGAGUUCAUGUAUUCACUAUGUGCUAAUGCUUUGUUCAGGUUCUCUAUUAAAAGGAGGCCUUAAUAUCCCUUAGUUUCCAAUCGGACCCCACUGCCACGGGAGGGUAGGACAAAAUAUGUCAUGCAAGUUCUUUUCCAUAAGCAUGUAUGACUAUAUACGGAAUACAUGCCUACAUUACAUUGAUGAAUUGGAGCUAGUUCUGUGUCACCCUAUGUUAUGACUGUUACAUGAUGAACCGCAUCCGGCAUAAUUAUCCAUCACUGAUCCGGUGCCUACGAGUUUUCCAUAUACUGGUUUACGUUUAUUUACUUUCCCGCUGCUACUGUUACAAUUACUACAAAAUACCAAAACACUACUUUUGCUAUCUUUACUUUUGUUGCCGCUACCGCCACUAUCAUAUUACUUUGCUACUAAACACUUUGCUGCAGAUACUAUGUUUCCAGGUGUGGUUGAAUUGACAACUCAACUGCUAAUACUUGAGAAUAUUCUUUGGCUCCCCUUGUGUCGAAUCAAUAAAUUUGGGUUGAAUACUCUACCCUCGAAAGCUGUUGUGAUCCCAUAUACUUGUGGGUUAUCGCCAUGAGCUCCACGAUCCCGGACACCGAGGUGACGAGCGCCGCGCCCACUGGGUGGGUGCGGGGAGGCGGGAUGGGCCCGUUGAACUGGGCGCUCUUGGACGUCCAAGCCAAGCUCCGAUCCGAGGGCGACGCCAUCAAGGAAUGCACCAAGGCGUAUCUGGCGUCGCGAACAGCCAUCCGAGUAUGCGUCCUUUCUUUUUGUUUUUGUUUCUUGUUUUUCUUUGUGGGGGCGCGCCAGCGCACCCACUGGGUGUAGUCCCCGAGUUUUGGGCUGGCUGCUGAGCAGGCGGCUCGGAACUCUAAUCAGUGAGUUCCAAGUACCAACACUUCGUCUGAAAUUUUGAUGCAGGAUUACCACAAUCUUCGCGUGACCACCUUCAACACCAAUGUUGAGGAGCUGGCCAAGCGGACCGCCGACUUGUCGGACAACCGGGGUGAGUCCUCUUCCUUCUCUUCGGGGGCGCGCUGGCGCACCCGCGGGCUGUAGUCCCCGAGAUUCGGGCCGACUGCUGAGCAAUCGGGCCGGAUCUCCCCGGCGACCUUUUUUCUUUGGUUGAUGAUUCUUUUCUUCGCGGGGGCACGUUGGCGCACCUGCGGGCUGUAGUCCCCGAGAUCCGGGCCGACUUUCUUCCUUGUUGACGACUGACACCCCUCCUUCUUCUUCUUCAGAGGCUAACACCGCCCUGCAGCAGCAGCUGGGCGAGGCCAACACCGCGUUGCAUGUCAAGGAGGAGGAGUGCAGCCGGCUGGCGGAGGAGCGCGACCGGUUGGCUACGCAGCUGGAGGAGCAGAAGGAGCUGCUCCAGAAGGCCCAGAAGGAGGCGGAGGACAAGGAGACCGCCCUCCUUGCCGAAUUCGCGUCCGAGCGCUCCUCCUGGACCGACACGGAGACGACGCUGGUCUCCGGCUUCCACGCGAUCGAAGAUCUCGUCGACGGUGAGCUUCCCCUCAUUUUCCUUUUCUAAGUUGCCGAGUGCUAGUUGAGUCGGCCUCUAAUCUUUAACCUUGUUCUUCUUCCUUGGCAGACUUCUUCCCCGGUCAUUCGGACGCCGCCAAUCAAGCCAUCGAGGCUGAUCGUGAAGGACGGAGGGCGAAUGAUACGUCUCCAUCGUAUCUAUAAUUUUUGAUUGUUCCAUGCCAAUAUUAUUCAACUUUCAUAUACUUUUUGGCAACUUUUUAUAUUAUUUUUGGGACUAACAUAUUGAUCCAGUGCCCAGUGCCAGUUCCUGUCUGUUGCAUGUUUUUGGUUUCGCAAAAUAUCCAUAUCAAACGGAGUCCAAACGGGAUAAAAAUGGACGGAGCUUAUUUUUGGAAAAUAUGGAAAAUUUGGAAGGAAAAUCAAAGCGAACCAGUGCCCGAGGUGGUCACGAGACAGGGGGGCGCGCCCCUACCCUCGUGAGCCCGCCGUAAGGCGGUUGAUGCUCUUCUUUUGCCGCAAGAAAGCUAAUAUUCGGAAAAAAUCACGGCGAAGGUUUCAGGCCAAUCGGAGUUACGGAUCUCCAUAUAUAUACAAAACAGUGAAACAGAGCCAGAACAGAACGCAGAACCAGAGAGAAACAAAGAGAUAGAUCCAAUCUCGGAGGGUCUCUCGCCCCUCCCAUGCCAUGGAAGCCAAGGACCAGAGGGGAAACCCUUCUCCCAUCUAGGGAGGAGGUCAAGGAAGAAGAGGAAGAAGGGGGCCCCUCUCCCCCUCUCCUCCGGUGGCGCCGGAACGCCGCCGUGGCCAUCAUCAUCAUCACCGCGAUCUUCACCAACACCUCUGCCAUCUUCACCAACACCCCUGCCAUCUUCACCAACAUCUCCAUCACCUUCCCCCCUCUAUCUACAGCGGUCCACUCUCCCGCAACCCGUUGUACCCUCUACUUGAACAUGGUGCUUUAUGCUUCAUAUUAUUAUCUAAUGAUGUGUUGCCAUCCUAUGAUGUCUGAGUAGAUUUUCGUUGUCCUAUCGGUGGUUGAUGAAUUGCUAUGAUUGAUUUAAUUUGCUUGUGGUUAUGUUGUUGUCCUUUGGUGCCCAUCAUAUGAUUGUGCGCGUGGAUCACACCCUAGGGUUAGUUGUAUGUUGAUAGAACUAUGUAUUGGAGGGCAAGAGUGACAGAAGCUUCAACCUAGCAUAGAAAUUGAUGCAUACGGGAUUGAAGGGGGCCAAUAUAUCUUAAUGCUAUGGUUGGGUUUUACCUUAAUGAACAUUAGUAGUUGCGGAUGCUUGCUAAUAGUUCCAAUCAUAAGUGCAUAGAAUUCCAAGUCAGGGAUGACAUGCUAGCAGUGGCCUCUCCCACAUAAUACUUGCUAUCGGUCUAGUAAAGUAGUCAAUUGCUUAGGGGCAAUUUCGCAACUCCUACACCCACUUUUCCACACUCGCUAUAUUUACUUUAUUGUUUCUUUAUCUAAACAGCCCCUACUUUUUAUUUACGUACUCUUUAUUAUCUUGCAAACCUAUCCAACAACACCUACAAAGUACUUCUAGUUUCAUACUUGUUCUAGGUAAAGCGAACGUCAAGCGUGCGUAGAGUUGUAUCGGUGGUCGAUAGAACUUGAGGGAAUAUUUGUUCUACCUUUAGCUCCUCGUUGGGUUCGACACUCUUACUUAUCGAAAAUUGUUCGAUCCCCUAUACUUGUGGGUUAUCAAGACCUUUUUCUGGCGCCGUUGCCGGGGUGCAAUAGCAUGGGGUGAAUAUUCUCGUGUGUGCUUGUUUGCUUUAUCACUAAGUAAUUUUUAUUUGCUGUUCUUAGUUGUUUUCUAUCUUUAGUUAUGGGUAGGAAACGCAAAAUACCAAAAAAAUUAGUUGUACCUACUGAACCAAUGGUUGAAGAACCAAUCAAAAUCUAUCACACUACUGAAGCUUAUUACUUGGAUCAUCUUCGAUCCCUAUGUGCUCGUGUUGAAACCCCAACUAGCUUAGUUGAGGGCAAAUCUUUAGAUGAGCAUGCUUAUUAUGUGCGACACCGUAUAUCUGAAAAAGGGAAACUAUUAUGGGGUCAAAUUCAACGUUUGCAAUGCUAUGCUUGGAAUGUAUGUGAAAUAUAUGAUUUUACUUGUUGUUCUGAAAACCCUAAGAAACACCUUCCCUAUCAAUGUGAGUUUAGUAAUAAUGGAAUCGUAUCUUCGUAUGCUAAGGGUGUUUAUAAUUACUAUGAUGUUCAACAAAUUGAAGAAUUUGUUGCUUUUAAGGGUGCUUCUGAAAUUGCUUCUUUGAUUGAAAAGUAUGAUGCUAAUUUUCACAAAUCUAAAAAAUUUGCUAUACUUAAAUAUUGCUAUGAUAAUUAUGCUUCUAAUACCUAUGUUAAACAAUAUAUUGAGGAAUACUCCGAUGUCCAAGAAGAGACUAAUAUUUUGCAGGAGUCUAUGGAAGAAGAAAUUGAUGAAACUGUGAGCUCAUUGGAUGAAAAAGAUGAUGAGGAGAGCGAAGAACAAAAGGAGGAAGAGCGGAUUGAUCACCCGUGCCCACCUUCUAAUGAGAGUAACUCUUCAACUCAUACAUUAUUUAAUUCCCCUUCGUGCUUACCGAAGGAUGAAUGUUAUGAUCCCUUUGAUUCUUUUGAAAUAUCCCUUUUUGAUGAUGCUUGUGGCCAAGAUGCCAAUAUGAAUUAUGCUUAUGGAGAUGAACUUGCUAUAGUUCCUUAUGUUAAACAUGAAAUUGUUGCUAUUGCACCCACGCAUGAUAGUCCUAUUAUCUUUUUGAAUUCUCCCGAUUAUACUAUAUUGGAGAAGUUUGCACUUAUUAAGGAUUAUAUUGAUGGGUUGCCUUUUACUGUUGCACAUGAUGAUUUCGAUAAAUAUAAUAUGCAUGUGCUUGCUGCUCCUACUUGCAAUUAUUAUGAUAGAGGAACUAUAUCUCCACCUCUCUAUGUUUCCAACAUGAUAAAAUUGCAAGAAACUGUUUAUACUAUGCAUUGGCCUUUACAAGGUGUGCAUGAAUUGUUCUUUUAUGACAUGCCCAUGCAUAGGAAGAGAGUUAGACUUCGUCAUUGCUUGAUAUAUGUUGCUUUGUGUUCACCACUAAAUUACAAAUCAUUGUUAAUUAAAAUUGGCUUUGAUAUACCUUGGGAUCCGGGUGGAUUCACUACUUGAGCACUAUAUGCCUAGCUUAAUGGCUUUAAAGAAAGCGCUGCCAGAGAGACAACCCGGAAGUUUUAGAGAGUCAUUUAUUUAUGUUGAGUGCUUUCAUAUAGUUUAAAAACAACAAAAAUAAAGAGGGGAACCCAAAACUUUUUCAAAAAGGAAAGCGAGAGUGAGAAAGACAAGCAUUGUUGAAGUGGGAGCUAGCCUUGAACUUUGUUCAUGCUAACGGAAACUUUGUGAAUCUUGAUCACAGAAACUUUUCAAUAAAACAAAUUAUCCCCGUGUACAAUUCCAUUGUAUUAUAAAAAUAAUGUGCCAAGGUUUGCCUUUAGGAUGUUUACAUUUGCUUGAUGGUUUGUAAGGUGCAGGACAGAAACUUUAGCUGUAGUGCGCGAUUUUAAAUUUUUAGCUGGAACUUCAAAUUGUUCUGAUUCUUUUUGCACUGUCUUCCUAUACAAAUUUUUUAUGUUUCCUAAUUUUGGUAGAAAUUUUCAAGUAUCAGAAGUAUGGUGAAUGUUCAGAUUAUUAUAGACUGUUCUGUUUUAGACAGAUUCUGUUUUUGAUGCAUAGCUUGCUUGUUUUGAUGAAACGAUCGAAUUAUAUUUGUGGAUUAAGCCAUGAAAAAGUUAUAUUAUAGUAGACACAAUGCAAAAACAAAAUAUGAAUUGGUUUGCCACAGUACUUAGAGUAGUGAUUUGCUUUAUUAUACUAACGGAUCUUUCCGAGUUUUCUGUUGAAGUUUUGUGUGGAUGAAGUGUUCGAUGAUCGAGAAGGUCUCGAUGUGAGAAGAAGGAAGAGAGGCAAGAGCUCAAGCUUGGGGAUGCCCGAGGCACCCCAAGUAAAUAUUCAAGGAUACUCAAGCGUCUAAUCUUGGGGAUGCCCCGGAAGGCAUCCCCUCUUUCUUCAACAAGUAUCGGUAUGUUUUCGGAUUCGUUUCGUUCAUGCGAUAUGUGCAAUCUUGGAGCGUCUUUUGCAUUUAGUUUUCAUUUUUAUUUUAUGCACCAUGCUGGUAUGAGAUAGUCCUUGGUUGAUUUAUAGAAUGCUCUUUGCACUUCACUUAUAUCUUUUGAGUAUGGCUUUAUAGAAUGCUUCAUGUGCUUCACUUAUAUCAUUUGAAGUUUGGAUUGUCUGUUUCUCUUCACUUAGACAACCUCCAUUUGUAGAAUGCUCUUUUGCUUCACUUAUAUUUGUUAGAGCGUGGGCAUAUCUUUUGUAGAAAAAAUUAAAUUCUCUUGCUUCACUUAUAUCUAUUUAAAGAGAUGACAGGAACUGGUCAUUCACAUGGUUAGUCCUAAAAUCCUACAUAAAACUUGUAGAUCACUCAAUAUGAUAUGUUUGAUUCCUUGCAAUAGUUUUGCGAUAUAAAGGUGGUGAUAUUAGAGUCAUGCUAGUCGAGUAACUGUGAAACUGAGAAAUACUUGUGUUGAGGUUUGCAAGUCCCGUAGCAUGCACGUAUGGUGAACCGUUAUGUAACAAAGUCGGAGCAUGAGGUGUUUAUUGAUUAUCUUCCUUAUGAGUGGCGGUCGGGGACGAGCGAUGGUCUUUUCCUACCAAUCUAUCCCCCUAGGAGCAUGCGCGUAGUACUUUGUUUCGAUGACUAAUAGAUUUUUGCAAUAAGUAUGUGAGUUCUUUAUGACUAAUGUUGAGUCCAUGGAUUAUACGCACUCUCACCCCUCCACCAUUGCUAGCCUCUCUAGUACCACGCAACUUUCGCCAGUACCAUAAACCCACCAUAUACCUUCCUCAAAACAGCCACCAUACCUACCUAUUAUGGCAUUUCCAUAGCCAUUCCGAGAUAUAUUGACAUGCAACUUCCAUCAACAUCAUAUACAUGGCCUGAGCAUUCAUUGUCAUAUUGCUUUGCAUGAUCCUAAGAUAGCUAGCAUGAUGUUUUCAUGGCUUGUCCAUUUUUUGAUGUCAUUGCUACGCUAGAUCAUUGCACAUCCCGGUACACCGCCGGAGGCAUUCAUAUAGAGUCAUACUUUGUUCUAGACAUUGAGUUGUAAGUAAAUAAAAGUGUGAUGAUCAUCAUUAUUAGAGCACUGCCCCAGUGAGAAAAGGAUGAUGGAGACUAUGAUUCCCCCAUAAGUCGGGAUGAGACUCCAGACUUUACAAAAAAUAAAAGAGGCCAAAGAAGCCCAAAUAAAAAAAGAGGCCAAAGAAGCCCACCAAAAAAAAACAAAAAAAAACA